GUGACCUCAGCGGUAAGAAACUAAACAAUGAAACACAUCCCAAGUGAAAAUUGCGUUUUUAUGUGUUCAUUUUUGUUUUAUGAUACUUAUUAAAACCCUAGAGUGGACAAAAAUAGCAAGAACAUCGUCUAAUGUCGGCGUGUGGUCUGAGGCCUGUUGACCCCCUUCAUACUAAUGUGUUCACUCAGGUGAGUUAGCUAACGGUAGCACGAAGCUAACAAGCGGACGUUAGCUGAUGAGUAAACAUAUUUAACACUUGUCUGGUGUAUCAGAGAAACUCCUAUUAAAGUGUUAAGGUUCUUUUCUGCACUAUUAUUAUGUUAAUUGCUACAGCCAGUCUAUACUAUAUAAAAAUAUGUGUUUAACUUUAAAAAGGUGCAUCAGUGACAAACACACAACUGGUUUAAAGAGUACUUUUAUCUUGGCUUUGUUCACAGAUCAGGCUUUUUGAUGGAGUCGGAGCCUUUUAAGAUGGAGCAAGUCUGGUUGAGAUCCCUGUACCCACAGAGGAGGAUUUACAGCCCAGAGAGGUUUUCAGAGUUUCCAGAGAGAGACUUCUCUUGGACUGGAUGAAGAGGUGAACCAGAAGAGAUACAAGGUAGGACUGAAUUGUUUACACAAAUGCACACGCUCAGUACUAGAGAUGUCAAACCAGACUUUAUUCAUACUAUUCCUGCAAUGGAACAGUAAUAAUAAAUGAUACCUACAAAGUACUUAAGAUUUUUAUUGCAUUAUUUUGUCAUACAAAGCAUUAAAGCACCUGUAACUUCCAUAUGAGCCUUGUUGCGGUCGUGGUAAAGUGGUAGAGUUGUGGUCUCUCUAUUAAAUGUUGGGGUUUCUGUUCCAAUCUUGCUGUCCCCAUGUUAAGGUGUCCUUGUCCUUGAUGUGUCAGUUUACCGCAGGCGCUGGAGAUGAAGAGAGAUGGAUAAAUUAUAGUAAAUGCUUACAGGACAGAAGUUACCUGACUUUUACUCAGAUAUGUAAGGUGUGUAGAUCUCUUGCUGAUUGGAUGAGUGUUGUGUUCUGUAGCUGGCAAUAGCUCUUGGUGGAUAAACAACAAUGUAGUAGAGUCUUUAUUCAGGGUAAGAGUCUUUGAAGGACCUGGCCUCCUAAGUAUUCACCUAUGAUGCCUCCCCUAAAGAAGUGAGGCUGUACUGAGUCUGUCUUUUUAACCGUUUGUAAGUUGGUGUUCCUUUGAGUUGAAACCAGGAACUUGUUUUGGGCACUCUUUGCAUCUAAGGGAAGCAGGUUGCAGUUAAUGGACACAUUUUGAAGAGCUGUCAGAAUGAGACAGCCUUUGACAUGCUGUUGCUAUGACACCAUCUUUCUCUGAUUCCUCCUUUAAAGGAUGAAACCCUUAAAUAGGGAAACAUCUGUUGUUUUUUUGUUUUGCUUGUUUUAAAUGAUGGUGUAUUUGCUGAAGAUAGAUAUGAAGUGUCACAAAAACAAUUCAUAUGACUCUCAAUGUACAGUAUCCUAAGUGUUGGUCAUGUAGGCAUGAGGCUGCACAUUUUCCCACCAACAGCCCAGUUUGCCUGCAGUGAUUAUACCCCAGGCUAAUGUAUUGAUGACUCACCAAUGUAAAAAUGCUUAUGUAGCACUUUUAAUCCAAAGUGCUGUUGCAGCUCACUGAGAAACUAGAUCCUUGUCUGACUCUAUAUUCAGCAAGUGUCGUAGCACUUAUGAUUACUAAACAAUAGCCCUCAUAAAUCACAAAAGGUUAAAUUUGGGUAAUAUUCAUUAAUAGAGCGCCACUCUGCUUGGCUUGUUUAGGUUUCCUGCAUGAUUCAUCAAAAUAACAGCUGUUUGGUUAAUGGUUUAAAUUGGAUAAUCAGUCAUAUCACUUUGCCACGCCUCUGUUGACAUUAAAGUCUCGAUGGGGCAAUUUUUCAGCUUGAUGAUUAAUUUCGUCAUGCAGACAAAUUAGGAGAACUUUCUUAAAUUUGUAACUCUUAUUGAAAACGACUGCACUUUAUUGCACAAUGGAUCUGAUCUUGAUGCAUAUGCACCUCAUACCAUUUGUUAUCCAGAGAAAACGGGAAAGGUUCCACUGUAAAUAUGGAUUGCAGGUCUUAUUUUUCAUAAUUGGAGUCAAGUUGAUGUUUGGAGUUUGAGAGAGACCACCUGGGCAAGACGUUUAUAAUCAGAGAAAAGGUUUCCCAACCCAGUGCACAACUAAUAUUUCAAAUCUCCCAACCCCGAACAUGCUCUGUGCCAGGAUAUCAAAGCAGCAAUAACUCAUAUGUAGAAAGGGAUGUGAGAACUUCCACAUGGCCUUAGGGCUCUAAGUAGAGGAGUUGCCUUUCCCUAAAUGUCAACAAGCCGUGUAUGUAUGUGAAAGAAAGACAAACAGAGAGGAAAAGAUGCUGGAAAAUUUCUUCAGGAGAAAUUUGGAAGUGAGGGAAGUCAAAGGUUUCUCCAAGAUUCCUCAAAAUAUUGGAUCAAAAUUUUGGAACUUUUAAUAGGAUAAACUUCAAGAAUGUUCUCACAUAUUAAGGCCCUGGAACCUGGGUUAACAUCAUUUAUACUGCCACCCUCGAGAGAGAGCCCUGCAUUCAAGUUACAGACCAGUUUAGCAACCAGACUCUCUUACUACAGCCAUGCUGUUAUUUGGCAGUGCUUUGCUCUAACAUGUAAGGUCUUCCCUGAUGAAGACAUGAUCUGGAUGGCAGCAUUUGUUGUCAUUACAUGUGUCUAUAAUCUUAAAGAGAAAUUUUGUCUUUAUAUAUGUGUAAACAACCCACAGGCAUUUUUACAUCCUCAUAGCAUCACAGAGACAGGCCUCUGAACCGUGUUCUGAUAACAAGCUUGUGUGUCCCUCUCCUCUUUAGAGUGAAGGAAGAGGUGUCUAUGGUUUCCAAAAAGAAUUAAGUUUUAAUUCAAAUCACAGACCCAGAGACCCAGAGAAGUUUAUGUGUCUCUGGAUCAUGGCAUAUCUACAAACCGUGGAUUUGGAAACUGUGAUUUUGAGCCCGUUCUGUGAGUCCCACUAUAGCCAUGUCUGAUUUUAAUGUGUUGCUGUUUAGGGGCUGACAACCAUGGCCACCCGGUAUUAGUUCAUGGUCUUGUUCCUUUUUGUGCAGAGAUUUCUUCAGAUUCUUUGAAUCUCUUUAUGAUAUUUCUCUGAAAUUGUUUUCUCAAACAGUCUCUCACAGAGUAGUGAACCUGUUCCCAUUCUGACUUCUAAGAAACUCAACCUCCUAUUAAAUGCUCUUUUCACACCCAUUCAUGUAACCAACCUGUUGUAUCUGUACUCUAGUGUUUGAGUCAUUGUUCAGUUUCAAAUAUGCUCUGGUAAAAAAAGGGCAAAUUAAGCAAACAGCUAAAAUGCCUCAAGUAAUCCGAAAUGAAAUGGUCUGAAAAAAAGAUGAGCGAAACCCUUUUUGGCGUGUUUCCAUCACACAAAAGACUUGAGCGUAGAAAAACACGUGUCCUUUUUCCUCAGCCAUGUAGUGGGUAUGAUAGUUCAUCAAGCAGACAAGUGAAAACACAGAGAGGUGUGUGUUUCCUCGCACUGCCUGAAGCUUUAAGUUUGACCUUCUCCCUCUCACCUUCUCCGUCUCUCUCCUCUGCCCCGGGGCACCGCCGAGUGGGCCUAUGGGAGGAGCAGGCGAGGGGGCCCCUGGCAUCACCCAUACCUAGACUCCAAAAAAGAAACAAAAAUCUUAAAGGAUGAUGGCUAGCCUUGACGUGGUUGAGACAGUGUUCGGGUGAGGAGAAAUGAGGUAAAUAUCAAUGGCGGUGGUCUCACAUAGCCCAUUAGUCAAUGUCUGCAGUCGCUGUCUGAGUAUCAGCACAGAGCAGCCGCAGGGUUCACACCACCUCCACUGUCCUCCCCAAGAAUCGUACCCAGGCGAAAAUAAAGCAACCCGAGCUGGGCAUAAAUCAUUAGGAACAUUUGUUACCUCGGGUAAUUGUGCUUCAUUCAUCUUCAGGCCUUUUUUCCAUUUGUCAACUCCCAAAGGUUGCUGGGUGUCAGCUGUGCAGGUCUGUGCUGUAGGUUAGCAUGAUGGGGCCUAACCAGAGCCACAGCAGAGGAGGUCUGCAGGAAGCAUGAUACAUGACACAGGAGAGUAGAAGAAACUAGGCCACUAUGCAGACCCCUCUGUGCAGACUGUGAUGCAAAUGUUGGUCUGCUGAUGCAUCUUUGAAAGUGUACCUGUAGGAUCAGCUCAGUGACACACGUUGGACUUAUGUGAAUUUUGUUAUACUGAGAAACUUUUCAUUCAACUUUUUGAUAACUUUAUAUACAGUAUGUAAAAUGUCAGGGUUUGUCUCUAUGUAGCAAGCUAAGAAAGGAUUAGGAUGGGUUACUAAUAUAAACACAAGACAUAUCUUUGUGGUUCAGAAGUAGAGUGGUUCAGUCAGGAGCCUUUCCUGGUCAUCUUGGCAAAGAAACAGAACCUUAUUGUUUCUAAAGGCACGGUCUUAGGUGGAUCAGUCCCUGUGAAUGGUUGAAAGGCACCAGCAAUGUUGAUUUUGGCAUGAAAUUUAGUUUUAGGACAGCUAUUUUCAUAAAACUCAGGCUGAUUUGAGUCAUAUUGUUUUCUUUGUAUUGUUUGUUUUUGUGCUUCAGUUGUUUUGACAUUCAAAGUGUGUUUCCUCCCAUUUUACAUCCAAAAAACACUCUUUUGUAAUCGGGGAUGAUGCACUCAGUUACUUCAUCUUCCUUCCUUCAUACUGUACUGGUAGUAGGUUGUAGGAUGACAUCUGUCAGCAGUAGCUUUGUUAGGCUUUUUAUAAGAUGGCUAAUAGCCAGUUAGUUCUGGCUUACCACCAGAAACUGUAAAUAGACUUCUUACCAACAUACUGGGCAAAAAAAUCAUCCAACGACAAUGAAGGAGAUAAAUCGGAGGUAGUUGGAAUUUGUACUAGUGCACCUGCUGCAGAUAAGUGAUGGUUUAGAAGGAAAACAAACAGUGAUGUGGCUUUUCCUUGCUGACUUUAUCAUUGUACGUCAGAGCAGUAAUGAACAGUGCUUGUGCCAUUUUUAAAAUUGUAAAUAUGCUUGGUCAUGAUAAUCAUAAAGUUAAUAAAUACCACAACUAUCCCCCUUGAGCUGCUUCACUUUUAGCAAGUAAUUACCCACCCUGUUCUUCCUCUUAAACACACAGAGAGUGCUCUGUUGUCUAUGAAUAUCAUUACAGAAUACCAAAAAUGCCUUUUGAUAUGAAGCUGGCGAGAAAAGCAGUUCAGCCAAUUUGUGGCUAAACACACCCUGAAACGCAGACAGAGGAACAGCAGACCGAGCUCAGGCUGGGGGUGUGUUCAAAUGUGCAUUGUGAUCCACUCUUUAGGAAGGCAUCUAUUAACACCAGUUGUAACCUUGCUGCCUUGAAACCUGUCUUCAGCUGUUAGCACCCUGCCACCUCCAUUCACCUCAGUGACACACACGCGUCUUUCACACAUCAUCCUCUGGAACACACACACACACACACUCACACUUACACACUCACACACUUUGAUUUAUGUACAGAUAUAAAAGCACCAAGAGCACUCUCUCUAACAAAAGGCAAUCUCGGCUCUCUUGAUGUUCCUGUGGGUUUUUCCCUUUGAAAUACUCCACUGCACCAGUUUUCACAACUAAGUAACACAGCAGGACAAUGAGACACCAUAUAAAGAAAAAGAGGAUCAUGAAUAAAGGAGAAGCAGGGAAGGAGAAAACCUUGAAGAAGAUCCAUAAAAUGAGGGAGUGUUAGAUAUAGUACACCAUCCCCUCCAAAUGAUACAUGAAUUUCUGAUAUAUCUCAACCAGUCUGAAUAAUUUAUGUGAGCAAUGAUUUGAAGUCUGAAGGACCACAUCCAGGAAGAAAUUUUACAUGAAGACAAAUUGACAAGAGUGAAACUAAGCGCACUGCAAUGUGCUGCUGUCAGUCAAAGCUGAAAUAAAUUUGAGAAAAUUCAAUAACUGUAGGUCAGCAGUGCUGCAAUAUUACAUUUAACACCAGCAAAAGAUGGCUGUGCUCUAAGCAGUCUCAAAUCAGCUAAACGUUAUAAUGUUCAAACAGUGUUUUUGUAUCAAAACAGUAUCUUUAAAUUUGAGCUCAUUACUCUUGUUAGGCCUGAAAUCAAUUAAUAGAUCAAUCAGUUAGUUUUUAUUGAUAUAGUACCAAAUCAUAACUAUUAUUGUGUCAAGAUGCUUUCCAAGAGAGCAGACCAUACUUUUUGUCUGAUCAUAGAUCACAUGACCACUCUGAGUACACAACCAGGCCUCGACAUUCCCUCAUUAUAUAAAGUGAUUAGCUAAUAACAGCAAUAUAAGAUUCAAUAAUUGCUGACACAUGUAAGGUCGCUAUCAUCCGGGAUAAAACAUGCAAGCUAUCUGCUGCAAAUCUGGGCUACAGGGGCGUGUCUAGACUGUUGUUUGGGUGGCUCUGUUGUGGCAUUGCCAAAGCAAUCGAGACCAGGGUGCUGUGUGCACACCAAAUUUACUCCCUUUUUCUCCUUUUUUCCUUCACUGUCUGCUUGAACAACCUUUUUUACAGAUAACUUGAUAACUGAUACAUCCUCGUGCACAUCCUCUAAGCUUAGUUCUUUAAGGACCUGAAAAAAGUUUGACCAAAGUCACAUUUGAAGAUGCUUAUAAAAGAAAAUGUGCAUCAAAUACAAAGAAAGUUGCAGCCAGCUUGCUAAUUGAGUAGUUUACUUAACCACCAUAACCACCUCUGAUGAGUCAUAUAGCCAAUCAUAUCUUAGGGUUUUGGUGUAGUACCUGGAAUGGCUAAUUAAAUCACAGAGAAGGGGGCAGUGGCACCACUGGGUAGCCUUCGGGACAUACCCCAGUGAUAUUGUCUAUUUUUGUCUAAAAUAGUGAAAUGAUGGCAGUGUGAGGGAUUAUGGAGGAUAAUCAAAUGUAGGGGGUUCAAUCCCACAUGCCUAAAUGUUCUUGGGCAUGACCCUUCACCCCAACCAGGCAAAAAUACCUCUGCCUUUUGUGUGUUUAUGUGGAGUGAACAGUUGAAUGUGACGUGUAUUAUAAAAGUGCUUUGAGAAAACUUCAGGAAGCAGAAAUUGACAAAAGCUUUAGUCAGAAAAUUUGAGAUGUGUGAUGAAGAGAAACAGAGAGAGGGGGAUACAUCCAGGGAGGUUUUUUUUUAGCUCAUCUGAGAGCUGCACGAAUGGCUGGGUGGCUGCUGCUGACAGGUGAGGAUGUCUUUAAUCAACAGCUGCUAGGAAGCUACUGAAGAUAUGAGGACAGAUAACACAGGCAGGCUGCACAAACGACCAGGGAAAAGAGAGAGAGAGAGAGAGAGAAAAACCACAGACAAAGGUGUGCGAACAGCCACAGCCACAUUCUCAGCCUGCAAACACCCUGUCACCACUUCCAGUCUCACCUCCUCCCACACACACUUAUCUCCCCAAAAUCUGAAGGAGGCGGAUGCUCUGAAGAUCUAGACACCACCCGCUCCAACAUAAUUAGCAGAAGACGUGCAGCCAGCCGUUGCCCGAGCUCACUAACACUCGUUUGGUCCCAAAACAAACACACUAGUGAUCUAGAACAAACAAAGAUAAUGCCCUCCAGCCUCUUCUCAGGAACUUGUCACACAGUCCCGACCGCUUGGUAAAGGAAUUUUAUUAUUGAGUUGGAUCAAAUGGAUACAAGAUGACACACAAACAACAGACAAAUGCAAGCAUGCAUACCUCACCGAUGUUAUUAAUUCAUACAUGAUUAUUGUUUUGUUUCCUGGUAUCUCAUUCUUUAAGAUGGGGCGUAUAGGUGAUGCAAGACAAAGCUUUCUGUCAUCCGGCCAUAUGAGCACCUAUCCAAGCUGGCCGCAGUACAGAUAACAGGCGCAACUGCAAUACCAGUCCCCAGGGAAACAGCUUUAUUUUGGCGCACAGGUAGCAGAGGGAGGGAGAAGCUGCGGGUCAGCAUCCUGCUUCUAAACCUGGAAGAGGAAACUAAUCCGAGGUCAAGGAGGGCCAUGGCGUUGAGUGAAACUUCACAUGAGGAUGGAGUAUUUAAAGUGUACUCCCCUCUCCCUGACUCCGCCGUCUUCAUUAUAACUCUGCACCUGGGCCGAACACUGAUCCAUGGGGAACUCCCUCAUGGCCACAGCCAGUCAGGCCCCUAAAUCUGUCCCCAGCCCCUCAUUCACUUCCCACUUAUCCCUCCUUCCUCCCGUACUCUUCCUUCUCUGCAGCGUUGGGUCAAGCUCAGAGCAACAAUACUGAGCCGGUGAGGACAGGAAAGGGAUGAGGUGGGAUUAGGGAGAUAAGUGAGGGUCGAAAUAGCCUUGGAAAAAUGAUAACUCUGGUCCCUGUUUGUUACUCUCACAAUCAAUAAUGGGACGUAAUCAGAGACAUUUUCAACACUUCUCCUGGGUUUCAGGAUCCCAGUUGCCCGUUGUCAUCCGGUGUUGAGAGGGUGACAUGGGCCUGGACCCAGCUAGCACCUGCCAACAAGCUUCUGUGGGUGUCCAUCUCACACACAGACGUGACACAGUUCUCAGACUUUGAGACAAAACUGCGAGUCCUUAAAGACAUGGAAUAGAAAACGUUCAUGGCUGCCCCUCUGUGUUUAAGUAAUGGCGUUUUGUCGUACAUGUCUGUAAUGAAAAGCUGUGCGGUAUCUGACCCUGUUCACUCUCAGGCUGCAGAACUAAAAACCUAUUUGUCUGUUGAAACCUAAAGGUUGCCCUGCAGACUUUUCCUGUAAACAAACAGAGUUGCUGUUUACAUAUAGUGUUUCUCACCAAAACACAUUGUGUGUGUUCUUAACAAAUUUGUGUAAUGCAUUUCCUCUGGCAGAAAAACAUUUGCAGAGCUGAAUUUUUUUAAAGUGGGAAGCCUGCGUGGUUUAAAACCCUUCAGACUGUCUUCACUAAAAAAUAAGAGUGAAAGACUGUAUUUCUUGGUUAUCACUGAAACAGUGAUGUUUUUGGCAGAAAUGUGUGUCUCAUUAUUUUAAUGUGUUUGCCCAAAGCAGCAGCAAAAUUUAAAGAUUAAAAUCAGUGCAUAUUACGAAAACCUGCAGGUCUUAAAAUGUCCAAACAGCCUCUAUCUCUAUUCGUUUACACUGUGGGGGUGGUGAAUCCUUCAUAACUCGCUUGUUUAUUAGAUAUUAAGGCAUGAAGAGGAUAAUAAGGAGCACAGCUAGCUUGACUGGCAGUUUGGCAAACUACAGCUGUUUCUCGAAGGCUAUAGGCCCACCGCAACUCUGCCCCCUCCACUCUUGCUAAGUUGACAAAAGUUUGAAUUGGCAUUUGCAAUAAUGCAACUGCCAUGUCUGAACUUCUAAACUCUGCUUUCGGAGCUUAUGGUGAUGUCAUAGAAACCACUCUCAUGUUUUAAACAGUCUGUGGUUUGUAAAUGGGGCUAAAUAAAUGACUAGUAACUGAAAAAAAAACUCUGUAUAUCUGCGUCUGUUCAAAAACUUUACAGUUUACGUCUGUUAUGAAUGCAUUUGACUGUCGUGUAUGAGAUAUAGGAAUUUUCUGUAUUAGUAUCUGCUGACAUUGUAUGUUAAUUGUUUCAGUAAAUAAAGCAUAAUAGUUUUUUGAGAUGGAAUUGAUUUCUAGGUAUAGCUUUUAUUAAAGUAAUCAUUUCAACUAGUAAGGGAUAAUGUAUAGUGAGCGGGUUGUUAUGUGAAUUGAAAGUCCAGCAGAAAAAGCAGAGUCUCAGAUGAAAAGCAGAGAGGUCUCGUUGCACCUUAUUGAUUUAAAAAUGAUUUAUUUAUACAGCCAAAGUUUCCUGGUCUGUCAUUUUUCCCUUGUUUUUUUCUCUAAUACAACUUUUGCACUCUUUGCUUGCAUGAAAAUAUUGGACUGACAAAUCUAAUAUCCAGAUGAGCCUGAGGCGUGGGUAUUUAUUAUGAAGCAUUACAAACAGCUCGUGAUUAUUUGUGCUACGGUGGUGUGAUGAAUAUUGUUUAACUGCCUUUUUAUAAGUAUGUCUGCAGGCCCGUGCCAUAUGUUGUGCCAGAGUGUUUACACCGAGAGCUAUUCCCACUGAGUCACUCUCCUCAGCCAGCCAGGCCAGCAGUGGCGUCAUGCAGCUGCUCCAGCCUCAGCCCCGGUCUGGAUCUGUGUUAUUGUUUCUGGGAGCAUUACCACGCUUAAGUGCGACAACAUAAUUUGUAACAAUAAGAAGAAAUUUGCCCGAUGCCAUCUGUGCACGGCAUGUACCUAUAGCGCUGUGAGCAGAGAGAAAGUGACACAUACACACAUGCACAUUCAGAGGGAGAACAAGGCUGCACCUAAAACACACGCUAGACCAACGUCUCACUACAGUUUGUCUUCCAAACACAGGCAGGCUCAGAUUUCAGGUCCUCUGGUCUCCAAAAUAUAUAUCGAAGUACACAUCAGGCUGUGUGUCACCGCUGUUUACAGGAAAGUGAUUUAUGAGGCUUUUUGGGGAGAGUAGAGAAGGCUGAUAUGGGCUGAAUAUGUUUCAGAGUGAGGCUGAGAGGAAGUCAAGCUACUGUGGUUAUUGAAUAAUCACCCGAAAAGUCAUUAAUGAGGUUAUUUAUCCGAGAGAAAAACUUGAGACAGCUACGAUUUUUGUGUCAAUCAAGAUACACAAACAUGUCAAAGAGCCAUUAGUGAAUUAGUCUCAGCAGUUACAUUUUUCUCUAGUGGUUUUUGGCUUGUGAAACCUCCUAUAAUGCUUGAGUAAAUGCCAGGCAUAACUGCAUGUGUGUAAGAUAAACAUAGUAUGCAUUUUGUCAAAUAUAGCAACCCUACCAGACAGUGGAAGAUCUAUGUUCCUCUGCACUGCCUUUUUAUGACAGGCCCUUUGUGUUGGACUCUACACACGACAACUAGUCCAACUGGUACAGCUCCAUUUUUAUUUAGACUUAACGCUUGAAUCCAUGCGUGUGUGCGGAGCAGGUUUGAAUCCUUGCACAUGCAGUACACAGUGUGACAUUGCACACAUGCAUACUUCACAGGCCCCCCAACUGUGUAUUCUCAAAACACUGACUUCUGUGGCAAAUAUGCCAUGAUGAAGGCAUGGUGGUGUAUUGUUAGGAGAUAGAGAUAGAAGGAGAGAUAAAACCCUUUUUACAGGAAGUAGAAAACAACUCCACUCAAAGUCUAGUAGAUAUAAGGGCACGCAGCUUUUCACAAGCAGGGGUGACAAAUUAGACCCUCAGACUUUUGAAGUUAAAAAUUUAUCUGAUGAAAAACAGAGUUCUGUGAGAAAAAAGGGGCAAUGACUAAUGAUGAAGAUUAGAUUUUUGAUAACGUAGCAAAUAGUUUGGAAACUAGAUCUGCCAGGGUAUCAGAUUUGUACCUCACAAUUAUUGUGGCCAUGAAAUAUCACAAAAACAAGAUUAUCUUAAUGUUUACAGAAAAUUUAAAAAACUAACACAUUCAAUAACAAUAUGGAAAAGCAAGACAAGGGUGGAGCGACACAUAAAUGUUAUGUUGUCAUCCAUUUUAAAGGAUGUUUAGAUUUAGGAUUUGUCCACAUCAAAUGUUACCGCAUCAAACAACUUUGGGUCAUGCUUUUAUUUUGAAAUUUUCUGUCUUGCAUUUAGGUUGCCUUAUUGCCUCUUGUAGAGUAAGUUACUGAACUGAAUGAGAACAGUUAAACGAACGUUAAAGUAUGAAUGUUCAACUGAUUGGUAAACCCAAGAAGGCAAAAGCUCUAAGAUCAUUUGAACAUCAGCAUUUAAAAUCAUCUCUCAAAGUGCUGCUAUAGCUUGCCUGCUGACAGUUGUUACUUCUUCUUCUAUGAUACCACUGAUGAACUCAGUAUUAGAUGUAAAUGGCUCCAUGCUCUGGGAAACACAGCAAAUACUGACAUGACAAACUUGCUGGUCAUAAAAAUGUGACUGUGGUUUGCUUCAUCGUCCAUGAAGUUGUCUUCAAGUUAACCAGGGCCUUCAUGGAUCUACAUGUGGUCAUAACACACUCACUCUGUCUUGUUGUAAUAUGAGGGUGAGAAGACGUGUAGAUCAGCAGGCCGGCUUCAGGGGAAACUUCUCGAAUCAUAUAAUUUUCAUUCAGUUUUUUUAUUCUUUCCUCCAAAAAAUGCUUAAGCAGAAGUAGGGAUUUGUCUAGAAACAGCCUUGAAUGUUCCAGUAUAACCCCCAAGUCUGUGCUAUCAUGGGAACACAGGGUUUAUGCAUUGCAGAAAUUUGUAGACAAAUACAGAAUAUGUCAGUGAAGUUUUAAUGGUUUAAAACUCUUAAUCCAAUUUAUUUAAUUCAAAAUAAACACCAAGAUAGUUGGAUAUUUCAAUCAGACCUUAAAUUGUUUUAUUUGUGCGAGGACAUGAAAACCUCUAAACCUCAGAGUCCACUAACACUCUGCUGAAGUUGUGCUUCGCAUUGUGCUCAAACCAGCACCAUGUGUCAGCGUGUUCCCUGGUAGCAUGUUGGCAUGUCAUCGGUACCAUCAGGACAAAUUUAACUUGAUUUAUUGUUCUUGGCGAUUAAAGCAAUUUGGAUUCUGAUAAUGAGUUUGAUGAGGGUCAAACUGUGUGCAGAACAAUAAGAGCCACAUGUGCCUCAAUGCAGUUACAAACCACAUGAAACAGAGGGAGGUGGAGUUGAGAGGAGGAGCAGGGAGCCAAUUCAAUCCAGAUACGUCCAGAUUCAAACAUUCAGCGGAAGGUGGCCCGGGCUCAAACACCAAACGACCACCCCAAAGCCACCCUGUGGUCUCACCAAAGACAAAUGAGCUGCUCAGGCUCAGUGGCAUCAAAUAGAUCCAGUUUCAGAAUAGCUUGGUCUUCCUCUGCCUUGGGUUAGAGAUUUAACAGUUAAGAUGUACACUUCCUACUCCCAAGUAUGCAAGGAAUUUGAGCGAAGAAGGAAAAGAGCGUGAGGGGAAAAAAAUCAAAUCAAUCCAUCGUUUCGUGUGUGCUUUGGCAUCGGAAGAAUAGUCUUUUUUAACCAUAGUGUGAGAUGGAGAAAGAGGUAUAAUGGUGGGAGUGUGGUGUUUAUUGGUUUCUGCCAAGCCAGUCAGAGAAGCAAACACACAAGCAGAGUGAAACCUGAUCGACUGGCACGCUGCCUGGACCAGCGGCAGCGCGGUGCAGCGUCAGGGGAAAAACACUGACAAACAUACAUAAGCACAGGACCCAGGUCUCCAAAUAAUCAUAAGAUGAGCAGGCCAGAUAAAAAAAAGACCCCAAACACUCCAGGGAAUUUAAAAAUGUCUGAGCAUGUUUUAUGACAAAGAUUCAGCACCGAGGAUCUACGUGAAAGUCUGACUGAGGAUGACUUUUAAGCGUCUCCUUGGAUGAGGGGAAGUUUUCCGAUUGAAGUCUACUAAUUCCAUCCCCUUGAUCCCAUCCCACUUCGCUUUCCUAACCCCCUCCAACACACACAUACACACAGACAAAUACACACUCUGGCCCAGCAGGAAAAUCCCUCUGUGGCCAGGCGUUUCUUUUUAACUUGAUAUGCUUGUGAAUCACCCCCAGUGCUGCAGUGCUGCUCCACUAAUGAACACAGGGCCCACAGACGGAGAUGUCCAUGCCCUGCUACGCUCCUCCAUCACACUGGAAAACAGGAUCCAGCUGCCCAGCACCCUGUCAUUAUGGGGAAAAAACACCCAGAACACCCUCUGCUUGCCCCUAGACUCGUCUCAUCCCCUGACCACAUCUUAUACUCAACCGACUUAACCUUAGUAACCUGCCUCCACCUUCAACCCUGCCCCAGCUGCAGCAAUAACCAGCAUCACACAUUAAUUUAUUCUCUUGAUCACUUGUUUUUAUUGAGACACCACAGCCAUGCUGCCCCACUUCCUUUAGCAUCACGCCACAUUUUUAAGUUUUUGCUCUGUGGAUUGAGAAGCAACUUGAAACCAAAAUCCACAAAAGCCUUUGACUAGAUAAUUUAGGGUUACAGAAGCAUUAGAAAUUAGUCUAGAUAAAAUCUGUCGCUUGAGUUUCUUGGAAGCUUCCCUGUUAUUGGGUUUGGAUCAGGCCCGGACAAAUCCAAAUAUUAGUGGUGAAAAGUAACUGAAUUAAGCAUUAAAUGUCUCAAGAAAUAAAUCAAGAAGUUUUGCCUUCUUCAUUGGCCGCCAUUUUUACUCCUGACAAUCAUUAACAAGCCUCUCUGCACAGUCAGCCAUGACUCCAAAAUUGACAAAUGACGAGGCCAAAAUGUUCAAGAACCUCCCCCUGAAUAAUUGCAGAAUCAAAAUCACUUCAAACAUUAAUGCUGUUGGUUUUAUUACAACAAUCAGCUGGGAAAAUAAGCUUUUUACAUAAUUGUUGAUAGAAAGAAAUGAGUGAUGCACCGGGUCAGGGGAAAUAAAAGUUUUAAAGUAAUCUGGUGCCUUUCAAGGAUAAGGGGCUAAAGGUCAAUUGGAACUGUCUACUUAUAAACAGGAUGAGAUCAGGAAGGAGAUUUGAGGACAAAUAGUUCCUCAUGGAAGCUUCACAGAGAUAGUCAGCUUGUAUGACUUACAUGACGAGCCAUUCUGGGUGCUGGUCAGCUCAGCUCCUUUAAUAAGAAACUGCGAGGAGAGCCAGUUUGCAAGCUAGGCUACAGUUCUCUGCAGUCAGGGUUGAGUCAGCCUUGUAAUUUACCACAUUGAAGAGACUCUAAUCCAAGCACUCUUCUCAGUUUAAGGGCAUGCUCUACUGAUAACUUUUUUAGCACAUUGACCAAAAAGCUCAUUCAUUUAUGCACAAUUUGCAGAUUCAGCACAUGUCCUUGCACCUGCUCGUGAUUCGUGAUGUGUAACUCAUUCAGCCCCAUUUCAAAAAUACUGAACUCUCCUUUUUAGUGAAUGAUAUCAGUUUGCAAGGCUUCUGCUUCUGGCUUACCAAGUGUCCUGUUUAGGGCUACACGGCAGUGAUUGUGAUGAUGGGGAUGCUCCAUACAAAUUUCAUAUUUAACCUUGUUCAACAAUAACAAUAAAUAACUUGAACCUGAACUUGAAUGUGUUGCUUUGUGUAGAACAAGAGAGAUGUCAAUCAAAGUAUGACCAGCCACGCCCACAUGAUAUUAACAGAUGAUCUGAACAGUGAAGCAAGAUGUCAGAUUUUUUUGAUGAUGCUCACUAAGACUGUCAUCUUUUAUGUCGUGUAUUUUUGUCGGGUUUCGUGGGUAUUUUUUUCAUCUCGAUAUUUGCAGUCUAGGAGUUCGUGCUUAUUGUGUUGUUGUGCCUUAAAUGUUUUUUUGUUUACACACAAGCGAGAGUGAAUGGCUUCAGCUCAAAGACUAUCUCUGCUUUCACACACCGUGCUGAUUGUUGUCUUUAUUUUUGUUUACGCAACAUGACUGCACACUAUGGAGAAAGCGAUAAAUCUCAGCGACAGUCUUGGAUCUGUAUCAGCGCUAGACACCAAUAUAAAUACGAACGUGAUCUCAACAGCAUGUGGAGGGGAUGGAUGAGGAGGGGUGGGGAGCGACUCAGGGGGUUGGCAUGAAAUUCCAUCAGAUAAAUUCAUCAAAGUACAGCGCUUGAGAUGUGAGUGUUGGCAGAAGGAUGGCAUGGGAAGCAGCAUAUGGAAACACACACACACACACACAGAGGUCUAUGCAUGUGCACACUCAGACACAGACAAAGGCAGACACACACUCACACACACACGUUAAGGCGAUACCAGCAUCAGGGUAGAGUGAAGCCAUAUCUAAUAUGCUGAGUGAAAAGUAAACACAGCUCUGUGGCAUCAGGGCUUCCCGCUCACAGACGAACCAUCUGACUCAAAACAAGCCUGAGGCAGAAAACCUUCCAGGAGGCCAGGGCGGGGCCGAGACGGUGGGGCUGGCUGGCCAUAAAACACACAUGCUUACAGUCACACUCACACACAAACUGUCGCACACAAAUACAUAACAGAAACAAGAGUCAACCAGACAUAAUUGCUCUGUUGUUGCUCUGUCAACAGCAAUAAAAGUAGCGCUCUGACAAUAUGAUUUACAGGGGGAUAUUGAAGAUACAGACGUGCAAAUUCCUCCAAUUGGUCGGGCUGCAAAUUGGAGCAUUCUCUUGUCACACUUACCAACCACUGAGGCAGGGUUAACAUCUGUGGGUUCAUAACCAUUUUGUGUUUUAGAGCCUCGCUAUGUCCUCAAGAAACCUUUGUGGUGGAGAACCAACCUGCUUUCACUCCUGGGAUAUCAAAUACAGCAGCUUUGCCAUGUUAUAGUUUGAUGAGUGUGAAUGUUAGCAGCAGGUUGCGGGAGGAGGAUUGGUCAAACAAGCACAAGACUUUAUAUCCAGGAGAUUGAGUUUGAUUUCACGAUCGAACAGCCACUUUGAAGAAGUUAAGAAACUCAAAGACAUGAGAUACAUGACAUUACUUACUUAAGCUGCUAAUGUUCAUCAACACCUAGUUCAAUUUGGGCUAUGACCUUUUCUUCCAAUCUUAACUAAGUCCCAAAUCUUCAACACAAGUACUUUGCAAAAUUCAGCAUAUCUAAAAGUUUUAGAGAAAGCAGACGUCAGCAGACUUUGCUUUUAUGAUUUCAUGAAUUAUUUGAGUAACCAAGGAAGAAAUUUAGUCUGCUCAGCAAUUUUUCACUUCUUUUUGCUGUGAAGAUGCAGAUUUCCAAAUUGGAUGUAAAAUGAAGAGUCAUCUGUUCUUGUCUCAUUACAGGGCCUGAAUAAAUAUAACUAAGUUCAUUAGACUUGCUUUCACAAUUCACAUUAAUUUUCUGUUAAAGGGAUGCCAGGUAGCGAUACCAAAAUACCCAGUGGGGGGAAAAUGCCAAACAGAGAUAACCACAUUGUUAUGAAGAUUACAGUUUUUUUUCAUUGAAAUACAUGAGAGAGCGGGAUCUUCCUCUAUCACUGCCAACAUACCUUUUAACAAGAUCGUACUAAGACCUUUAUAAACUUAUAGUCAUCAGUGACAUCUUAAUAAAUAUCAUGUAUUUGAAUUAAAUCUUUUACUGAACAUGGAUUGUGGGGACCCUAGUCUCCAUUGUAGUAAGCCUGUAUGUGGUUUGUCUCUCACUCUCAGUACUGUAUUUAGCACCUCUGGCAAAGGCCUCUUCUACUUCUAAGCUAUCAGCUGGUUUCAGCAUGAGCUGCUCACCUCUGCUAGAGAAGGUAGCAGCUUCACCUCGAUCCAUGAAUGUGAACUUGUGUUUCCUCAUUUCACACGGACCUAUUAGCACAGCUUUGACUCCUGCAUCUCUGUUUUCACUUGGCUAAAAAGCUGAAAUGUACUCAAGCUAUUUGACAUUCAUUUUAAGUACCAGUGCAGUCGCUGUUGUUUCUGUCUGAACACGUGUGGUGAGGUAGUGAAGUUGUGCAUUAGCUCACUGUGCAACAGGGUUGGCUUAAUAAAACUGCAGUAUUUCAUAUUUGUGCUCUUCGUGACAGCUCUACUGGUGACUAAUAAGCUGCAGGUUAUGAAUUGAUUUAUUGAUUUGCACAAAACUUCCCAAGCCUCAUGGGUUUAUAGGGCACUGGAAAUACACUUGUAGUUGUCCGAUAAUUCUUUACAGAGCUGUAGGUGAUUUGCAUGUUUCUUUUCAGCUCUUUAAAGUUCUAUUCUUGAUUACUUCCAAAGUUUUGCAUAUAAAAUCUGCAACCAGAAAUUUCCUCUUCAUGGUCAGGGUAUAAAGGAUAAAUACAGAAACCAGUACUUCUGAAUUUACAUUUUAAAAGGUAAAAAAAAAUAAAUUACGGCUGUUAAUUGAAUAAUUUGUGUUACUGUGUUUGUAAUGUCCCACCUGAAAUCAGUCCUGUACUGGGAACGCUGUUUUUUCCCUAUUGCGCUGGUGGAUGUGUAAAGAGCAAACACCUUGCUGCUCCGUGCUGUUUUGACAAUGAGCCAGUAGUGUGCGUGUGCGUGUGUUUUUGUGUGUGUGUGGCUGCCUGGCAUUUAACAGACUCCCCUGCUGGUUGUAUUGUAGACAAAAUAAAGGAACCAUCAAAUGUGGCACACAGAGGGGAUCUGCCCUCUUCUCCUCCACCCACACACAGUGCAGCGCAUCGCUGCAGUCUGUCUUGCGGUCUGAAAAGUUUCACAAAUCAUGUUAACAAAUAUCCCAGACUGAGCAUCCUGCGGUUUUCCACAACCAGUACAAGGAGUCCAGAGCUUUUGUUGUGGCCAUGGAAAUCCAAGACGAUCUCUCAGGAUGCCAGGAGCAUGUGAAAAAUAUUUGUAGCCAUAAAAAAGGGCCAAUUGGUAUUAAUGGUGUGGCAUGUUGUAGAGCCCAUGGGAAGGGUGUGUGUGUGUUCAAGUGUGUGUGCGUGUAUGAGUAAGAGAGCAUGUUUGGUCUGGGUCAAGCAGACACACUUGUUUCCCAGUAGGAUGGAUCAGAUGGAGGCCACAGGGCAAGGAGCAGACAGAUUCAUCAGAGGCGUCAUCUCAGGGUGUCCGGUAUCCCAGAGUGCAGUGCUGCAGCUGCCAGGCCUGCAAGUGGCAGCCAUGAUGGACUCCAGGUGGACAGAAAGACAGUUUCACAGAUACAGGACCUUCAGAGAAAAUCCUCUGCCCUGAAAAGCUGCUGAACUGAAACUUAAAGAAUUUUAUUUCUGUUUCUUCUAAGCUGCUGCUACCUUAAUUAUUUCUUGGGCAUGCGUGGAUUAGCAUAUCACUUGUGAGCUGUAAAGAUUAAAUAUACACAUUUAAAACCUCAUGGAUGUACACUAACUGUAACUAAUUCAUUCUAAGCUACUUAAGCUAUCAACUGCAGCUUCUCAUGUCUAACCUGCCCCUCAUACCAUGUCUUAACACUGUGGCCUAACACAUGUAACAUGAGCGAGUCAGCAACAGGAUCAGUGAGAUAACAGUAUGUCCCCUUAACUGCCCACAUAUGAUGUAGCACAAAGCAAUGCAACAUUUCACAAUUAAUCCACGACAAUGUGUGUCACCCUGCAGGAGCGAUAUCAGAGAGACGCGUCGUCAGUAAGAUAUGACUGUUUGGUUAAAUUAUAGAAAACUGCCUUUUCAGUGAGAGCAACAGGAAAUGAAACUAAAUUAUUUUAAGAGAUGGUUUGUGAGGUGUGAUAAUUUUCCUAGUUUUUAAUUGAAUUACAUUGAUUGUCUUUUUGAGCUUCCUGCAGAGGAAUCAGAUUUAAAAGAGCUUUACAGCUGACUGAAUCUGGACAAAACAGAGACUUUAUUAUCUUUAUUUUUAUUUUGUGAAAACUCCUAAAUAUACCAUUUUUCCACGUUUUCUUCAUGAUUAUUAUUUAAGUCCUUUAUCAGUUAUAACUGUUGAAAAGUGGGGUAGGAUAGAGUUGAUGUUUUGAACAGAGUUGACUCAAACCCCCAGCAGGAUUGUAAAUCCACCAGAGGAGACUUGACCUCGUGAACCUGUGACAGAAAACACAUAGGUCAUUAUAAGCAUUCGUGUCCACUUUACUCUCUGCUGGUUUCCUAACAAUGAAUAUAACACGGCAGAGCUUGGUUAGUAGUCAUGUUUAAAGCUUUAAUACAACCUGAAAAUGAAAAGCGGAUCAUUUAAAAUGGUUUUUUAUCAUCUCACGAUGUGUCUCUCAGCUGCAGUAAAAUCUCCAUAAAUACUCAAGCUGCAUGUUUGUUUUCUUGCAGUGUGAGGAUUUUUCUCAGCUCUUCCUCACAGAUUGGAAUCAUAACCUUUAGCAGAGUUUACUCAUAAUAGAUUUUUGUCUCUGUCUCCUUCGGUGCAGGAUGCCUUGUUAAACCCGGAAAUUUGUGACAAGUUUGAUUUAAGGCUGUUUGGAUUGCCACAGCAGAAGCUCCUCUCAGCAAUCAAUCAAAUCAAACUGAAAGCAGUUAUUUUUCUAACCUGGCAUGCAUCGCAAAGGUAUGAAGACAAACCUAUAAAUAUAGCUGCUCCAACACCUCAGAGACAACUUAUACUUACUCAUGGAACAAAGCACAAACAUGGCAUUUCUUUCUCACACUUACUAAGUACAGAGCUGUGCUCCUCCUGAGGUACUACAGCGGAUUAAAACUGAUGGUUUUCAUAUUUGGGAUCUGGUACAGGUGACAGGAAAUGGGUUUGAUCUUUAAGUCCAUGUUUACUCAGCCAAACUCCAGAAAACUGGCUCUGCACCAGGCAUCCGGUUUAGGUUUGGCAAACGUCAGGAGUUAUUAAGAUACUCUGCAGUUAUACAUCAGCUUCAUAAUGAAAACGUCACAUAGAAAAACUUUAUUACAGUUUGUGUUUUAACUGACAGUGUGAUCACUUAACACAUCCAUCAUCAGAUGAAGCGGAGCGGUCUUUGUCACAGAUGCCUCAAAAACACCUCCAGCUAGUCACUGGGUGUUUGUUCACCCACUUUAACAUUCCUUGGCUUGUCCUUAACCGCUAAUGGGACAGAUAAAAUAAAAUUAAAAAAUCAUUGUGGGAUUUGUGUUUGCCAUGAGGAGGUGACUUUGGCUCUGAGGUUGUGUGCAUGCAAGUUCUGAACCGAUAUUAGUCUGAAUGGCGUAAACAUAACCAUUUCAAAGAAGUUGAUUGUUGCUGUGAAGCUGCAGAAGUAAACCUUCAGAUGUGUGGGCGCAUGUAUAGCUAGUAUACUACUAUUGCUUGAAUGGGAUGGCAGAGUGGACAGUGUUUAACUUACAGACAUUUUUACAAUAGAGUCAUAAACCUUAGCAAUAGUUUACACUCAGCGCUGUAAACACAUCAGUGUUUCCCCGACUUUCAUUUAGCAAUGUGUCACCUAUUGGCUGCUGUCUGAUGUGUGCAGCCUUUUGGCCCUGUUCUUUGCAGCGUUAUUGGCUGCUGAUUGACGUGGUAAUGACCUUAUUUAACGACAGUCCACUUCCAGAAAGUACCAGCAGUUUGAAAAAAAAUAAUAAUAAUUGAAAACAUAAGAACAAGGAGCACUAUUACUCUACUCAGCGAAAACACUGAGAGAAUAAACUUCUAGAGGUAUAACCAUCUGCAAAAAAAGUGAUUUUUAAUGUGGACAGCCAUGAUGCGAUGCACAAUCAAUAUUCCCACGACUAACAGCUUGAACACACUUACAUGAUAUUUCAGGAAAAGGUCCUGUCUUAAACCAACAAGUGUGAUAUUUACAGUGUGGAUUUUCUGGGAUAUCCUGAAGACAGGCUCAGCUGGAUUAGAGACGUGGCCUUUUUUCUUCUUUUUUUCAUAGUGCAGUUUUAACAACACUGAGGCAAAAGAUGUGGCAGUACGGUAAAACAACACUGCUGCUGUUGCGUGGCACCAGGCCAAGAGCAGACAGUACAUAAUACUCUGUACAGGAUGCUCUGCUUCCUGCCCCUCCUUGAGCAGGUGCUGAGAGAUGGUGUGUAGGUGUAAAUGUGAUUAUUUCACCCGUUAGGUUGAUUCUGGAGAUUGCAGGGCUUUGCAGAAUGACGACAAGUGAAAUAUAGUAAGAAAAUCAUCCACUCCUGUGUUUGCUAAACAGAAAGCAACAUAAAAAAAUCUAUUUUAUGGCAGUUUCGUGUUUCGUCCAGCUCAGUUGAGUAACCGAAAGAGAGGAGGGAAUCAAAUUGCCAACAGUGUUUACAGAGAAAGCAUGACUUCAAGUAAGGGCUGUCAGAUGAUCGAUUUUUUUUAAACCACAAAUAAUGGCAGAAUUUCAAAGGUAUUGUAUUUUUAAUCAUGUUAAAAUUUCAUUAUUUUGCAUUCAAAAACAGUUUUUAGAUUUAUGUUAAUGAUAAAAAGCAAUCCUGAGUGGUGAUUGGAUUUGGAAACCAAGCAAAUACCUUGAGCUUCAUUGCUACACCGGUGUGAUCUAAAACCAUGACUUAGAGGUAGGAGACAGCUGCAGAGUGCUUAAUCUGUAAAAUCCAAUUUCAUACUUAAUAAAGAAUAUAUUCAAGAUUUGAUUUAAAGAGAUGUGCAGGAGGGCCGGUAGAAAAUGUACAUUUAUUCUGAGAAAGUCUAAUUACUCACUAACAUCCAGUGAUUCUUGGAUACUGCAGCAGCAUUUGCACUUUUUAGGGAUUCCAGUUUGGUUGCUUUCUCCGUUUCAUGCUGGUCCCAAAUGCACAAAACUAUUUUUCCCUGCAACACUGAGGGGAUUGAUGUCAUGCCAACCAUAGGUCUAUUCAAUCCACACACUGCAAAAUAGAACUUUACCUUCUUCCUAAGAGGACCUACAUGAUGAGCACAGAUCAAUAAUGAACACAGUUGGAGAGGACUCAGAGGUCUGAAUCAGGCCUCAAGUUUUCCAAGAAAUGAAUUCAUUCUUGGACUAUUUGAAAGAAAAAAAGCAGUGAAGGCUCACUGUGUGCUCACUGACAUAACUUGUGUGCCCAGCAGAUGUCUUAUUUUAGUCAGUUUGUGUCUUUUCCCCUCUUUGUUUAUAUGUUUGUUGAGAUGCUUGAUCUUAUUUUUGGUCAGUUGUCAAACUUUUUCUUUUGAUCUCAUCUUUUUCUACUUGCUGUCUUGUCAUAAAUCUGGAAAAUCUUCAAUAAAGUUUACAAUAAAAUGAGUGUUAGAUGGUGCUCAGAGUUUCAGGGCAGGUUUUAUGUUUUCAUUGUGUUAGGAGGAAACAGAGACAGUCUCCUGGUUCCCACUGAUACUGACAUAAAAAGGGUUUUUUUCAAUAGGCUGUAAUGCUGCAUUCCUUGCUGUUUCUGACACAUCAGCCAUAAGAGACCUUAAAUAGUGUUUUUCCCAGAUUUUUUUUAAUAUAAUUUAGUCAAACUCAACACGAGUUAACUUUAGCAUUGCCGUUAAAUCCUGAACUUACAGUCGACUGCAUUCCUGUUGCAAAGGAAAGGGUUUCCCACGAUCCACGUCCAGCGAAAAAUUAAAUCCAAACCCUUUAUUUCCGCAAAGAUUCGCUCAUUACUUCAAAUCUGUGUGUUCUUGUUCUUCAGAUUACCAUGUAAAGUCAGGGCUUGGAUCCCUCUUGAGCGAGGAUGCUCCGGGACGAUGAUUCAGACUCUUUUUAGUGAUUUUAUUGGCUCAGCAAGAAUCAGCUUGUUCAGCUCCCAAACAGCUCUCUGAAGAACCAUUAUGGCCGUGCAGACUGAGCGAAUUGUUUCCAGCGUGUUCAGUGCUCUACUCGCUUCAUUUGAUUAUUUCUGAGAGUUGAAAAAUCCGCCCUACAGCGAAUCACUUCCCCUGUGAUCGCCAUUAAAAGGGAGGAAAACUGAUCAAAAGAGGAUGUGGCUACCCUGUACAAUACCACUUUUUCAAUCUGAACCAUGUUGGAUGAAAACAAACUCAAAUGGCGUGAAGUAGGCCCCUCCUCUCAUGUAUAAAUUUGCAUCUUUGGGCACACACAUCAGCCAAUAGAGCAAUGAAAUCCUUUAAUUGGAGUCUAGUGUUACAUGGCUACCUCAGUGCAGAUACAUGUUUUGCAACUGUUAACUGUUAUACUGAUAGCAUUAGUGUUAUAUUGUGAGUGCCAUAUUCAUUUUUAGCCAUCUGCGAAUUUCCCUGUUUGUCCUGUGAUUCCAACUCUAUGCCUGAAAUCUGAGAAGCAAAAAACAAUAAAGAUGAAUAAAAAAAGAAAUGAAGUUAUAACAAUCAGUGAGAUGUUUUAUGACUUUGACAUUAGGAAACAUAUUUGCAGAUCUGUGUUCAGCUCCUUCGCAGCUGGCAUGCACCGAGGGAAUCAUGCACCAACAUGUCCCCAUGAAACAAACAACUGCACCACUAAUUCAAUAGCAGCUUGUAUUUCUUCUCUUAACAGGCUGGAUUUGUAGAUCAGAUCUUCUGACCGAGGGGAGUUUGUGGGAGCAAAGCCCUAAAAGGAGAGAAAGCAUAUGUGUAUAUUUAUGAGUGUUGGAGUAGGAUAGAAAGAGAGUUAACGUGGGAUCCUGAGCUCUCUAGGACUUAGACAAUCCCCACUGUAAUGUAAAACCUAUGAGACACUGAGGGGCUGUACAGUGCUGAGCCUCAGCUGGACCAGAAAGUGCACCCAACAUGUUGUCAAAGCAUAAGGAAUUUAUUACUAAUGUUGGUCAGCUGUAGCGACCGGAGGGGCGGGGGCUUUUUCCAGCGCGGAAAAAGAGAAAUCAUUAAUUAUCUUCACAGUCACCCUUGAUCAUUCCCUGAGUCUCAGCUGAGUUUAUCUCUGAAGCGUGCAUUUCCAUCCCGACUGAGUCUCUUCAGCUAGCGUGUCCAUUUAUAAAGCUUGUGGCUUAAGAGCGAGGUCGUAUGCUGACCUCGCAGGCUGACAGCCAAUGGUGUGAAGGAUUGGAGGUAGAGGAGGUGGAACAAAGCAGACAUGGCAGCAGCAUAUGUGCUUUCAUCCAGACCUUGGUCUUCACAUUGAACUUUAACCUGCUUGAUGGGUUGGAAAAAGAGCUGGGAGCACCAAAGCAGCCAACAACAGAACAAAGUCCAGUUAUGAGGACUAAAACAGCUGAUUUUAAAACCAGAUUAACUGCUUAUGACGUAGAAAGUAGCGCGUAAAUAUUUACAUAUUUAAUUUGAGUGGGUUUUAUGAGCUGCUUCAGUGUAAGUAGAGGGAACAAUGUUGAGGCUCAUUUGUGGGAGGUAAAACCUCAAACAACCAAAAGUUUAACUGAAUCCAACAGGGCAUGUUGUUUCAGGUAUCAGUUGCAUGAUGAAAUCCAUCCCAAGGAGUUCAAAGUGAUAUUCCUCGCAGCUUAAAUGAUGCCAACAUAUUGUUAUUUCAGCAUUUGAUGCCCAACUUCGUUCCUUUUCUUUUCUGCCACAGGGGAGUUGAACCCGAUAACCUCUUAAGUUAGUGUGUGAAACAUCCGAGUUUGCCAACUUAGUGCUAAAUGUCUCAACAGUCUUCGCCAAAAGGAAAUUGGGAAUUAAGAUAUUUAGUUACUGAAUUAGGCAGCAGAGGAGGGCACAGUUUAUGAAAACUUUACCUGUUUUUAACUAGGGGUGGGUAUUGGCAAGGACCUCACAAUACAUUACAUAUCACGAUACAUGUGUCAUGAUUCGAUACGAUAUGAUUCGAUACGAUACAAUACAAUACGGCUGUAUAUUUGCAAGGACCUCAUAAUACGAGACAUAUCACAACAUAGUAUUAAUAUAUCAUGGUAUUCAACAUUGUUGAUCAGUCAAAAACCCAAGUUGCUAUAAAAGAGGAUACUGAUCCAAGGACAAAACUUCAUUUCAAACAACAAAUACCAUUUUAUUUGACUGCAUAAGUGCUACGUACGCUAAUUUGAAAAACAUCGAUACAUGGUUAAUGUGAGGAUAUAUCACCAGACAGUGUAUCGCGAUACUAUGCUGUAUCAGUUUUUUUCUCUCACCCCUAUUAUCAACCUUUUUUGUAUAAAAAUAAUAGAAAUUAGCAUUGAUGUUAAUGUGGGGAUCGGGAGGAAAGAGGAGGUGAUACCAUGUGUCAAAGCUAGACAUUGCCUCUCACAUUAGUUUGUUUCAUGUAUGACCUAAAAAACACCUCAUGGAAGAGUGAAGGGACUCAGUUCAACUCAAUUUCUACUCAGCGCUUGUGACCCUAAACUGCACCAGCAAGCUAAUAAAUCAUACCAGCAGUCAAACAGGAUGAAAGGAAGUACACAACAGACUACCUUUAGCUAACAGACGAACUAAAAUAUGAAAUACGCCACGCUGACAAGCGCCUUACUUUUAACCACUCCGCUGUAUUCCUUUGACAAAUAAUUCCGUCUCCACCUGAUAAUCAGCUAAUUUGAUGAAUAGGCCAAUUAGUCUUUAGAAACAACUUGAACCAGCACACUACUAUAAAUCACGCAACAUGGAUUUGAGCUCAUAUACGUACGGGUACAACUACUCCGAGAGGACUCUUUCAUCUGCAAGACAUAGUCCCCUUUAGGACUCGAUCAGAACGCAAGGUUAAUAAAUCCCGACAUUUCACAUGAUGAAAACUGAAUGUACUACUUUUGAACAAACGUGUGGAAAUAGUCAUAAAGCUCAGAUGUUUUUGACUUAUAUUUCUUAGAUGUUAGACCAAAACUAAUAAUACCAUGUGCAAUGGUGCUUCAAACAGUCAUAAUGAGGGGUAAAUUAGUUAUCUAAAAACUCCAAAUGUGGAGUUUAACUCUUCAAAACUGUCAGUCCAAACAGAAGAUGCCAACGUGUUGUUAGCGUCAUCUGACAACCACUCAUGGUCGAUGACAUGUUAACUCAACUUAUGCUCAUAUUCCAGGGAUUCAAUUUACUUUCCUGAUACGAGUGUCUAGGUUAGUGAGUUUGUUGAAAUCAGCUGGGAGGGACAUAAUUUAAUCCAUCUUUGUAUAAAGAUAUCCAACUCCCACUGUUGAGAGCCCCAACAAUUAAAAAAAUACUUUUUUUUUCAGAGAAAUGUUGGAAAAAAAUAUAAAUUAAAACUAGACUGAAUGAGUCUAGCAUAUGUGUGUAGCCAUGAUGGUCACUGUAAAGUAAACCAGAGUGUUCAAUAUAUUAAAUUGGUUCUCCACAAUGUGCAGGUAAGUCAGAAAAUCACCCAAAUCAGCAGGCUUCAUACUCUGUAGUGGAAAUCUACACAAACCUUCAUGCUGCCUCUUUGAAAUUUAGUUUGAGAUUUCAGCCUUUACACGUCACCACUAAAUGCUUUGUGAAUUACAGUACUAUCCUCUGCCGCCUUCUUUAACAUUUCAUGACAAGGCAUUAUCAAUCCACUCAACAAAUCAUCUUCUACCAUGCGUGCUUCUCCAUGCACGUUGAUCUUCUUUCUGCACCAGUAGCAACCAUGGCAGUUUCUCACUGUUUGUACACCUUACAAGACAGUGUGAGGAACACAAAGUUUCGCUGCUGAGUUUUAUUGGCUCUUUGUCAGCAGGUUGCCAACGGCUUUGUCUGUCACAUUGAGAAAUUAGUGAUAUUUUUUCCUGUUUGACCUGAAUUUGCAUGCAGCACAAGCCCCAGGUUGCAAGGAAAACUCAUUUCCUAACCUGAGAUGUCACAUUAUAAUUGGAUUGCUUGAUUUCUGCAGGCGAGCGGCCUCAAAUGAAUCUGUCCCUGGUAUUCUGAUCCAUGCGCUCAAUCAGUGUUAUGAUCCAGAAAAGGAGAAAUUUUCACUUGGUGUUGAUUUUGGACCCAUGAGGACAAAGUUGUGCAUCCUAUGCAUUUCAUACAUUUGUUGUUAUUCAUGAAACAAUUUCUUAUAACAAGAGGAUACAUUAAACUCUGUUGUGAUUUAAUUUGGUAACGUUUUGUCUAUUUUAAAAUGCAUCUUGUCGUCCAGAUUUUGUUCAGUCUCUUUUCAGAGAGCCAGUAUCUCAGUAUCAGGGCUCAACAGGGCGACCGUUUCACAUAGAAAAUAGUAAAAUGUAUUUAGGGGCACAUGUGUGCAUAAAAAAAAUUAGCCGAGGCAACAACUGUUUUUUCAUGUAAAUACUGCGGUGAAGUUAGUUUAAGGUUGUAUAUUUGACGGACAUACACUAAAGAUCUACGGGUGUCUUCUCACUCUUCAUAACCAGGAAUAGCAACAGCAGCGCGGUUAAAUCUACUCAGCACCCUCGCUGUCAACGUUUGGUGUUAAAUAAGGGACCGUAAAUAAAUAACAGGUUGGUGCUCUCAGAAAAGGCGGUUUUCCUUCAAUAGCUUCCAUGUCAUGUGACCAAAAGACCUAAAAUUGAUAUAUACCAAUAAGACAAACAUUAUUUGAUCAAUCUUCAUUGUGCCCCUUAAGUUCUUUGUGGGCUUCUUACUUUUUCAACUUUCGAGCACAUGUGCUUCUUGUGAAAAAAGCUAGUGUCAAGCCCUGAGUAAUCAUUUGUCCACAGCUUCUCUCUGUAUUUGCAUAAAAAAUGUCGAAGGUUUGACCGUUAUCAGUCAAACUAUCAAGCAGACAAACAAGCAGGCAGGUAAGGCGCUGGCUGCUGUUCAAAAGCCGUGAGUCACAGAUCAGAGACAGCAGAUGGUGUGAUAGUUCGGCUCCUUGUUAACUUUGGCAGAGAACCGCAGAGCGCAUCACUGGAACCCAUCCCAUCCAACCCCCUCUGUUUCUUCUCAGCAACCAACACCAUUGACUGUACAUCAUAAAAACAGAGUCAUAAAUCACGAGUAGCUUAAAUAAAGUUUAGCCAGAAAAACAAUGAGAAACAACACGAGAGGUAGAGUUAUUUUUGGACUGCAGAUAGCAGAGACAGUGUAGAUAAAGGUGUGCUCGGCUUGUUUGUUGAUAUAUUAAAUUGUUAUUGUCGCGAGAUUGUUGUUUUUGUUGUACAUUGAAUCAUAAUCCCUGUACAAUCAAAGCAACGUAGACAAAUGAGUCUAGAGCACACUGCCAAGUUCACUGCGCAUUGCAUAACUUUCACUGCUGAGAUUUAUUCAUGGAAAAGCAAAGAGAUGCAUAACGUGAAACAGGCAGAAAUCUGCUGCUUCUCCCUCACAUGACAACCAGGGAGAGACAAACUGUGUGUAAAUAACCAUCGUGCUUCAGGCCGACACAUUCCAGAUAAGACGACAAAUAGCCAUUACCUGCUGCAUUAUCAAUCACAUGGGUACAGUGCACUGUCAUUGCCUCUUUUCAUGCAUUCCCAAUGACAGUCAUAACUUUGACCUGACAUACCCAGUCAGCUUGAGCAACUUCCCCAAUCCAUCACGGCUGUCAGAGACGAAGCACGCCUUUGUUCUGAUUAAUUACAGCCUUGCUGGUAGGAGCUGUCAGUCUUCCAAACAGGUGAUAUAUACACACACUAUCAAGAUGUUGUGAAUGAGCAUGAAUGAGUGCGGGUUGUCAUGACUCAGCCGCAAAAUAUUCAAAUGAACAUUAUGAGACGGGGAGAGAGACAGAAACAAAACAAGGAAACCAUUUGGCAGCCCUCCGGCAAAACCAUCCAGUCUUCACUGUCCAGGAAAGCAGAAGAAGUGCUACUAGUGUCAGAGGAUCAGAGCUGCUGCAUUAGAGUGACGAGUGAGUGCAAUUUCCCCCGAGAGAGAUUGUAUCAUAAUGAUGUCAGUAUCUCUCUCUCUCUCUCUUUUUUUUUUUUUCUUGCUCAUAAUAUGUUUGAACAAACCUGCAGAGGACCUCCUGGGAGCUCCAGCAUGCAGCAGAAUUACAUUAAUGUGUUUAAACUGGCAAAACACACGUGGAGCUGUGCGUUUCCCUGAGAAACAUUUCAAAGCUCAUAAACUAAACAUUUCCACCCUCAGCCUGUCUUGCAGAUCAUGCUGGAUUGUUCUAUAUAUGGCACAUUAGCAUAAUAAACAUCUUCUCCUUGUCUGAUGGCGGAUGGAGUAGUCUUGCUGAAGGUUCAGUGUGGAUUGCAAUGAAUGUGCGGAGAGUUGUAAUGUUUAUGUGAGCGCCUGUAACACUUUUCUGCGUCUAAGUGUUUUCCAGCCUGUUUUCUUGUACUUGGCUGUGCAGAGGGGAUUAUUUGUCGGGGAGGAAUCCAAGUCCUGAGAAGUUAUUGGUCUCUAAACACUCCAUAUAUGUGAUAACAAAGCUGCUGUGAACACGUGAAGAGACAGAACUAGGACCGACUGUAAAGCUGAUAGUUUAGUCCCAGCCACUUCUUGGUUUUGAUAGUGUAGCCAGCUCACUAAAUAGUUGACACCUAUCGUCUACCGCUGCAGGUCAUACCCACGCCCGAACAUGUUCAUGCAAUGAGCCCAGAGUGCCACUCCACCAUGAUCAUACUAGUUAGAGCAGCAACCAACUUUGGAACAGUUGUUGUCCUCAAGAAGAUCUGUCAACUCGUUUGCACUUGAUUUAAUUUGAGUUUAAUGGAGAGAAUAUGGUAUGGGGGGAUUAAUCAGCCAUGUGAUCGCCGACGAUAGGUUGCAAAUGCUAAUAUUCAGUACGGUGCAGCGCACAUGUGUGCCGCAAAUACUGAUACAUAUGAGUCAGAGGUUGAGCCAUGUAAAAAAAUAAAUAAAUACUCAUCUUUAAGCCGUGGCAGAUUUUAUUUAGCUGUGUCAGUGCCCCAUGGUCAACUGCAUGUAGGGGAAACCCUGUGCUUUAUCUUACCUUGCGAAAUACAUGUGUUACUCUGCAAAUAACACAAGGAGUAAGGAGACAUGCCAUCUAUACCUCUGAAUAUAAAGUGUAGGUACAUGCAAACAUUUUAAAAGAGCGCUUCGUACUUUUGGUUAUACUUGAGCUAAAUGUUGGGCUAAUUGCUAAAAAUGUAAUCUUUGUAUAGUAACAUUCACAGUGACAAUGUUAAGACACAUUGUCUUAAAACCCGGUCAUUCACGAAAUCAGCCAGCAGAAGUAAACCAAUCAAAACUCUCUGAGAGGACCGUCAAGAUGUUUGACAGGAAGCCUCAUCAUGUUCACUACAAGCGUCAUAUUUUGAACAUUCACAGUUGACUAACUUUUGCUGAUAUUUGUCUUAAAUGUUAAGUUCUGAACGGGCUUGCCCCUCAUUCAUUUAAUGAAUAUAUCCAGAAAAACAACCAAAACACUUAAGUACUAGACUGUGUCGUACUGAGGUGUGAAGCUGUAUUUUGUCUGUCAUAGGCCCGCAUUCCUGGAACACAUUACCAGCUCUGUGAGAACUGCUUAACCUUUUUAAAACACAUUUAAACAUCGGCUAAAAACAAACCUGUCAUGUACUCAUAAAAGACUCUGUUCCACCUCAGGUGCUCGUUCGCGGGGGAGGAUAGUUAAUCCUGUUUCUUAGAAGAUUUUAAGUUAAGAAUCCGUUAUUUAUAUACGUAGCAUGUGUCCAUUUUGUAUGUACAACUGAAGUGUGAUAUUUAAAGAAUUUCACUGAAGAUAAUAGUAGGAAUGAAUGAGUGGAUGAAAGUUUUCUCGUAGCUUAAUGCCCAUCAUUGAACCUGCACAUAAACAGCAGAUCAGACAGCCAGAGCAGAGAAAGUCUGUGUGCUGCUGUGUUUGUCUCCAACUUUACAAGUCUAAGCUUUCACUAAGCGGAUCUCCGUCUACUUUCUGCGGUGAAACCCGAUCAGCGAAUAAGUGAGUCUGCUACCCUACACUAAUGCUGAAGAGCUCUGUCUGCGUGAAUCCAUAACACACCUUUACAUGAAUCGACAAGCACCCUGACAACUGCUUAAUGCGUACGUGUGUGUACGUACGUCAGCGAGGCGCUCAUGUCUCGCCAUCCACACAGUAUGCGAAGCUUGCAGUGUGUGGGUGUGAGUUUUGUGUGCAGCAGGUCAUCCUAAUCCCCUUGUUACCCACAACAUCCAGAACUACUCAAACUAGAACUUCCACUACCAUACAGCACAUUUCACCAUCACACCAGGUGUAGCUGUUCAGUUAUAUUUAGUCUUCGCUGCACUUUCACAACACAGCAUUCCUACAUCCAGCACAUCCUCAUGCCAAAACACUUUCCCCUUCAUGGCUUGCAAAUCUGCUCGAAGGGUUUCAAUGAGGCAGCUGCCCACUGAACGGGACAUGAACACUUACAUCCAAGGACAAUGUGUCUCUGUUGAUCAUUGCACACAAGCACAGUGGCGUUAAAGGCUAAGUGUGUGGACCACCAUGAUGCAGCCGCAGUUUACAGAGUUAAAACAUGUCUGGGAGCAAACGGAGACACUUAAGCCUGUGUGCUGAGGUUGACUCAUAGGCCAGCAGGUUGUCUACAUGCUUACACUACAAAGCUCACAGCACAAUCACACCUCCUGAUCCUUAUCAGUGCAACACUGACGCAGACCUUCUCUAAGAAGCUUGCUGUGCUCCGCUCCACGAGCAAAAGCUUUUUAAAGAUCGACUUCUUUGUGACAGCGAAAAGCUCUGAAGCUCAGAGAAGCAGCACUGGCUGGUGUUUCAUUACAUUGUGUUUCUUCAAUGGCUGAGCGCUCAAAAACAACUUUCCAGCUGAGCAAUCCUAGCAUUAACAAGUCGUUCAUCUUUGAUGAGCUCCAUAUGCAAAAAAAAAAGGAGGGAGAGGAAAAAAAGAGUCUGUGAUCAGAGAAAUAAAAUCAUAUGUGUAUUCUGUCACGCCUCACAUCCUGUGGAGCGCUGCAGAAUGUGGUGUGCUUGAAGGAAAACAAAUAGCAUGUCCCGGUACAAGGCUGUGUUUGUUUCUGCUGCUUUCAUUGGAAUUGCAGAAGCAAAUGUGAGCCUUGAAAAUGAAUGUGCAGCUCAAACUUUUUUUUUUCUUUAAGAUGAUUUAUUUCUCUUAUGUGGGAUUGCAGGAAUACUUUAUCUUAUCUGCAGGAAGUCUUUCAGCCUGCUGCAGGGACAUGUCAGGAACCAACAUCUCUCUUGCUCAUAAGCCACUUUGUUCCCCUGCAGCUGUAUUCUUAACCUUGGGUGGUCACUUUAUAUUUUCCUGUCUGUCUUUCCCCUCGCACUGUUUCAGACAUUACAACACAGCAAAAAAAAUGCCUUUUCAUCUUAGUUUGAUGUUCAUCAUGUCUUUCCCCUCAGCUUAUACCCUACUAUUUCCCUCGCACAUGCACACACUCCACACUGAACACAAACAAAGUCAUGUCAUGCUGUAUCUCUAAGACAAAAAGCCUGCCAUCUUUCAACCCCGCCCAGAUUUUCACAGUUGACAGUCAAGUUCUGGGUCAGUCGAGCUGGCAGGAGCUCACAUCCGUCUUGCUUUUUGACACACGUCACAAAUGAAAAACGAGACGAACGAGAUUUCCACAUAAAGGGUUGGAGGGCUUAUGAAGAUCAAGAUUUCUGAAGCUGAGUUCACCAGAGUACAAGAGUAGACACAAAAGCAGCUACGGCUUUAUAAAAGUCUCAGCAUGAUUGAAAUUUCAGUAUUUACAACCUCAAUUUUAAAUCAACAUAACUGGUACAAUUUUAAAAAGUAGAACAGGGACGACAAAAUAUUAAAUUAAGUUAGGUCGAUAAAUCAUCAUCUAUCUCAUGAGGAUAAUUUGCAGAAAGACAAAAGGGCAGAAAAACUAAAACUACAAGACAUGACUCUGUAGUAGUGCUGUAAAGUCCAAGCCGACUUAUUGGUCAAUACGUGCUGAGUCGACCAAAAUUCUGAUUGGUCGGCUCGAUACUUUUUUCCACAUCGAUUUCCAGUCUGUGGUUAAUUUCAUCAGGAGGGACAUACCAAGUGUUAAUGGGGAUGUUGUCAGAGCACCACCGUUUCACAGGUAACAGCCUGUCUCAGAGCACCCCCCUUUUUUCACCAUCUUGGAUUCGCCCAACCCAUUGGACACCGGUUGGAGACAGAAAGAUUGAAGAGCGUCCACAUUAAUCAACAUCUGGUGGUUUGCUAAAUAUAAUAUCUGUGUUAAAUUGCCUUCUUGUCCUGAUAUCGGUAUAUUUUCACCCCGCCAAGCUGCGCUCCGCCAAGCCACGUCGUCCCCCUUCGCAGAAGGGUUUGCCGUCAGAGUCAGAAACCCCCACCCCACCCUAUAAGUCAAUUUUUGGUUGAAAAUUUCAGUGUUUUAGUCAACCAAGAAUUUCUUUGGUUGAUUACAGCUCUACUCUGAAGUGGAAAUCACCACAUCUGCUCAAAAUCACCUCCUUCCAUCAUCUGCGAACACACUUCAUCCCUGCAGCUUAAAAAUGCACCAACAUAUAAACAUGAUCCACAAACGCUGAUGACUUCUCUGGUUCUCAGCCCGUUAAGAUGAACAAAGUGAAAGUGUGAAACAGCACGGCUCUGUAGAAGAAGAGUAAAAGCAGAGAUUUUAUUUUGGAUCUCAGCCGCACCUUUUCUGUAUUAAAUCCUGUUAUUCUGUGGCAGCUUCCCCAUAAACAGUGUGUAUUGCAUGUUGUGUGUGUGUGUAAAGCCAGCUCUGCAGAACCCGGGUCACAAACGCUCUGCUGAGUUUAGCUCCCUAACAUCAGCACCCUGCAGGAAAUUUUAUGCCUUGGUGGUGUUUACUAUGUGCCAGUGAAAGUGGAACCAUGGAUAGAGUCAUCAGGACUGUGGGAUGACCCCGGGUUCAUCGUUAGCCCCCCUGCUGCUCGCCCCUUUCAUCAGGCAGCACAGUUGUUAGUUUAACUCAGGCCCCUCUCAGCAGGCCUUGGCACAGGAGAGAGUCCGUGGCCAAAGAGGAUUUGGUCGGAGGAGGAGAGAAGUCUGCUCACACUCAGCGGCAGCUUUUCCAGCAUCAGGCACCACCUACUUCCAAUCAUGCGUUCACCCCCAAAUCCUCCCUGUGACUGCAAAACCAGCAGGGCCAGACCCAGCAUGGAAGAGGUCUGGUCUAAAUAUAAUCCUAAGUAUGUGUAGAGAAACAAAGAAACAAACUCACAGUGUAGUAUCACACCUCUCAAAACACUGGAGUGUGUUUCCAACAAUGUUAGCAACAUCAGUCAGGUUUCCUCGGAGACGUCUUGUGUGUUGUUUCAGCAUUUAUCUUUUAGUGGUGCAGUGGCACAUCACAGGCGAGGAGAUAAUGACACGCUUUAUUGAAAUGGAGACGAAUGCACCCUCUCCUCACCAUGGGUGGUCCAGUUAGGAACACUGCAUAGAGAAGCUCCCCCCAAAGGCAAUUAGCAUGCAAGCCAGACUGAACAUAUCUGGUUUAUGCAUUACACACAGCUGGGCUCAAGACAUCACUCAAGAUACAAGAUAUCACUGAGUGUGUGUGUGUACGUGUGUGUUUGUGUGUGAAAGGCCCGGAUGCAGCAAGUGUUUCAAUUGUGCUGAAAUAUGAGUAAAAUAACAGAGUUUGCAGCUGCAGCAUCAUGGACCGGAUUAUGCUUUACGCACUAAAAAAAUACCACAACAAGUUCCUCUGAGACUGUUUUAACUCACAGUCCUCUAAUGACAGCAUGCUAAUUAAAAUACCAUAAAUUUAACAUGUAAAAACAAAGACAGGGAGUGUAAUGUCUGAUUAUUUUUCAUUAUUGUUCUGCUAUUGUGAUGGGUGUCAGACUUAACUCUGAAUAGGAGUAGCGGUGUUAUUCUUCCAAAUCUUUGUCUCUUUGUCUCUGGUUCCAGACUUGGCUCCUGUUUUUGGUCUCUUAUGCAUUUUCUUUUCUCCAAACGCCCUUGUAAGCAAAAACCUCUCCCUAUGAGUUUAUGGACCGCUUAAUUUGAUCUGCGGUAGAAUUUUCUACGGUAAGAGAAAGCGUUUCUGCUCCAAUAAUGCUGUCAAUCAUGUUUAUUUUAUCCUGGGAAAGCCAAUAACUGUGAUUGCAAUCAAUAUUUAAUUAAUGAUACAGCCUUAGACAGACUUGUCAAGAUUCCAACAAAACCACAAAUGACAUAUUUCACAAACCAUGUCUUUGCUAAUACUGUUUAUGGAGAAACGAACUCUGGCACAUUUGUUCUGUUGAGCAUUAGGUACAAUUUGGGACCAGAAACAGAAUCUCUCUUUGCAUUUAAAGUGAGCUAUUGCCAACUUGUGGGUUAAAGGGCUGCUUAAUAGGUUAAACAGAUAUCAAAAUAAAAUACUGAAAUAAAAUCACUCAGGAUAAAUCUUGUCCAAUGCAAGAUGUUGUCUAUUUUCCUCUAAACAUUUGGAAAGGUGAAGGUUUCCAGUGUCUUAUCAUCUAAUCCUGAUCCUAGUGUGCAACUUUGCCUUUUCAGAAACUCAGAUACAAAGAAGACUUUCUUACUAAGAAAAUAAGACCACAGGGUAGCAGAGAUUUGUUACAGUGAUCAAAUUUAUAGGAACGGCACUGUCAUUUUGAUGCAGAAAUAACAAAUCUAUCCACUAGAGAGAAGUUCCUGUGGUAUUUAUCAGUCACUUUAUGUGGAUACAAAAAGAGACAGAAAGAAAAACGGUCGAAUAUCAGAGAAAAAUGACCUUCAUAACUGUCUGUGAAAGUAUAAAUCCGAGGUAGUAGGUUUGUGUGUGUGGCCGUCCUGCUGGGAGAUAGCACAUCAUUCAUCAUCUUAUUAAAGAAGCUUAAAGGCAGGAAGACAACGGCUGCUUGGACUCGCUUUCCACACAGGCAUCAUCAUUGGAUGAAGUGCAAAGUGGGCGGGACAUUGUGAGUUUCCUUUCCUCUUUAUUGGUGAAAUCUCGCUGCUUGCUGGUGACGGCAGCUGAUCUCGGGGAUUGUGCAGUGUCAGGUGCAGCAGUCAGUCAAGGCUCUGGCUCCCACUCACUGAGUUGGCAACCCGCCCUGAAACUCUCACCCGAAGCCACAAGAGAUACCUGCAAUUUGUCACCCCUAUAAAAUAACAUUCUCCGUUGAAAUUGUCAUUUCAAGGCAGAGGAGUUUGUGUUCCUACGGGGAAAGACAUGUAACACCGAAUCUGUGUUUCUUACAAAGCGUCUUGCUAUCAAGAAACCUCAAACUCUCCAAACUCCUAGCCUGAUGUUUUUGUAGCAUUUGGCAGUGAGAGAGGAAGGUUUUAAAGAAGUCAUGUAAUCUUCCCCGGCUGCAAAGCUUUCAAACAGUCAGUGUAAAGACUGGCAGGAAAAGCCCCGAGGCCAGCGCAUCAAUGCUUUGUUUGACGACGGGCUUGGCAGAUCGCCAGGGCCUGAUUUCUCACACCAUGCAUGCCACAGCACACCUCAGGCUUAGAGACGCAGACACAGAUGGAAAGACUGACGACUGAAUCCAAGUCUUGAAAUCUCACUUUGUUCCUUUUACAAAGUGUGUCGACCCUUUUGUCAGUCAGGGGUGUGGGGAGCAAUUAUCAUGUAAUCCGACUUUUUACACAGUGUUAAAUAUUUCUCUGUAAUUCCCUAACCAUUUCUCAGCAGAUCCCGUCUAUGAUCUGAGUAACUUAAAGGGAUAGUUUCAUUUUUUUCUGAGGUGGGGUUGUAUGAGGUUCUUGCCUGUAGUUGGUGUAUUAGCCGCAGGAGAUGCUGAUCACCUCAGACCCUUAGCUGAAAAAGUAGCUUGACCAACCAGAAUGAACUGAAGACAGGUCGGCUGUAGAGAAAGUCAAUACGUGAAUUUUAAAGACUACUUUUUUGGUGUAAGUGAACUGCCCAUUUCGUCAGCACUUUACUUUGCUAUGAGUAAGCCCAUUUAUUUCUGCUCUACUACCAAACAUGACCCGUUUUGGUAAUUUAACAUCUCAGUUUGACAUUAAUUUGAGUUAAUGAAGUAGUCCUCUGUUGUUGCCAAAUAAUUCAUGACAGCGGUCAUCAUGCCUUGACUGGGACUGGGAGUUAUGUUGCAUUAUGGGGUAUUUCGGUCAACACUUUGAGCUGCAGCAAUAUUUUUGCCAAUAUUUAACUAUAAGUGAAAACAGGAUCUUUAUCCAGAGAGCGAUAACUUUCAAUGUAGAGACCCAGAGAGAAGUUAGUUUGGUUUGUUGAUGCUGCAAAAAUACAGAAAUAGCAGUAUGAUUUUGGUGUUCAGUUUGGUGGCAUCCAGACAAAGCUCCACGGUUGCACAGAAACUGCACAUUGUGGACUUUAUCGACAUCAAAGACUCUCUAAAUCUUAUACAAAGGAAUUUUUGGUAAUUGAAAUAAAAAUUUAACAGCAAAAAACUAGAAGAAUGCAAAGCAGUAUAACAAGUAGCUUAGUGCUAAAGUAUCCAAGUUUUUACUCUGAAUAUACAGAAAAUGCAUGAAUGAUGGAUUUGUUUCAUCUUGUACUACAAAAAUAAAAGAUCCAAAAGAGUUCAUCCUGAAAAAAAGUGCAGGGCGGUAUUCAGUUUCAUCCAGCUUAGAUCGGUGUAAAAAGGGAUUAUUCCUCCUCCUCAUCGUUCUGAAUUCUAGCAGCCAUAGGUCUCUGCUGGUUUGUUCAGAGGAUCAGUUACCAUUCUGUCACAGCGAAUGAGCAUGCACGUGUUGUCAUUCAUCUCCACGUCUCGUCUUGUCUCACACAUCUGUCACAGAACAUGCAGAUGCAUGGAUCAGUGAGGCGAUGCAGUGGUGUAAAGUCAUGUGUGACACACCUCGAUCAAUGGAAACCUCCCUUAAGGCAUCGCUUCCUCUCAGCUUAAGUUCCAUAAACUAGUUUGUGUUUGGUUUUGAAUGUCUGUGGUGCAGCAUGCAUGUGUAAAAUGCACCUAGCUGCAUGCUUUCAUUGCUGGCCUGUGAGGUCUCCCACAUCCCCUGAUAAACUCAGCAAUCAGUCUUUUCAUAGCUUCUUUUUGUCUGGGAGUAAUCCAGUGUGACUCUUCUCUCCUUCAGGAUCUGUCAACUGUAUCACGCACAAUCAACAUUUACAGUACUUAUUGUCAUGUUUACGUUCUCCAUUAGUCAUCACAAACUCGUCUUAGCGCUACAGGAGGCCAGCUUCUCAUUGAGCCAUAUGUAAAGUGUGACUAUACUGUGCACCUUUUUUUAAUGCCAGGCAAACACGUCUAACUCCGAGCUGCCGCACCAAAACACACACAGGACCAGGGCUAAUGCAAACAUAAUAAUAACACACAGAAUAAGCAGGGAAGUGAGUGUGACAGGAAACACAAACUGUUUUGUCUGUGUCCUGAUUUCUCAAGUGUCCACUGUGACACCUGAGAUGUCUCACCGAUGCCUGGUCCACAUUAGGAUUUUUCAGUCUUUACAGAUGCUAAAAAUAGAAGCAAUAAUACACAUAAUCACAAAGGAAAUUUAAUUAAAAAGGUACAUCUUUAUUCAUUUGUUCAGUCAUUACAUGUGAGAUUAAAUAUUUGCAGCCUCGUAUCAGAAAAAUCCGAAAUCUAGUUUCUUAAGAAGUUUGACUAUUUGUAAGAUUAAUCAAAAAAGGAUUUUAAAACAUAUUAUUGUCUAGCAUGUUCAUUUAUACUCACAGUAGUUUGUUGCAACUUCUUAUCAUGCAUCAUAGCAGCGUGGCAUAGAGGUAAUCCACCUGCAGCACUGCUGAGGUGAUUUCAUAACUCAGGUUGUUUCAGCUCAGUUGUAUUUUUGUGUCAGCUAUUAAAACUCCAAAGUCUGGAAAAAAGUAAAAACUUAAAUAGAAUGAAAUGAAAUGACAUUGAGGUCUUAAAUUAUAUUGAUUGAGUCUUAAAAUAGUCUUUGAAGGUAGGGCUGGGCCAUAAUCGAAAAUUUACCAAUACCGAAAUUUACAACAAUAACAGACAUAAUUUUGCGCGUGUCAAAAAAAUGAAUAAAAGUUGGUCUUGUAUGUGUGUAGGUACGCUACGUCAGAGACGUGACUCCACCCCAUCCAGUCCGUGACAAAAACUCAAAGACAGGUGAGGAGAUGGAGGACGGUUUAAAAGUUGUAGCAGCUGGAGCGUUUGCUGAAGUAGACAAAGUUAAUGUGGGAGUGGCUGAGCAGCUUGGGGAUUAGAAAUCAUCCAUUUAUCGUUAUCAAGGUGAACAUCUCAAUAUAUUGUGAUAUUGAUUCAAAGCCGUAUCGCCCAGCCCGAUAUGAAGGUCUUGAAAUGACCUUCAGGAUUUCCUGCUUAUAUCACUCUAACAGCUUAAAUCCACCUGUAGUGAGGCUUAAAUCAGUAUCCCCUCCCAUGCGCACAUGAAUUUGGAGUGAAUGGGUGAUUGUUACAUGUCAUAUUAAAGCCCUUUGAGUGGCAGAAGGUCAGAGGAAGAGUUUUUUAAUCACUGUUUACUUUUUUUUUUUCUUUAAUAAAGGAGAAAUUAAAAAGAUCCUUGAUGCAGUGGACAGCUAACUUUUGAGAGCCUAAAUGUCCAAACAAGAGAUGCAGGCUUUUGGCGACUGAAUAACUUCAAUUUAGAUUAUGCUGCACAUUUUAAAUGCAGAGAGCAAACAGCUGAAAUAAAUUCAUCAGGCUGUAUGUUGACAAAUGAUGGUAGUUAUUGAUAAAGACUUUAUCAAAGUGCCAACAUGUAGAACGGAGCCCGGAAGCUUCUUGGCAAAAUCGAGAUGUUAUCUUGAAUUUCUGUGUUGACACAGGAGUGACAGACACACACACACACACACACACACACACACACACACACACACACACACAUACGCACACACACACACACACACAUACGCACACUCGGUUUUUUUGGAAAAAAAAAAUGCUGGGAGUCCGUGAUAGUCUCUCCUGCCUGAACAAUAUGAUUAUGUGCGGCUGAGUGUGUCUAAGAUUAUGAAACAGGGCAUCGUCAAACAGUAGCUUAUUUACUCUGCAAAGCUCCCUUUGAUGAGGAAAGGUUAAGACAACAAACAAGUCAUGGAGACACACAGAUGUGCAUUAUACAGAAGAUGUGUGCACAGGUGCAAACACAUAACUGCUGCUGGGUGACUCUGAAGAAUUAAUGAACAGUAAUGACUUCUGGCUUUGCUGACGGUUACUUCAGAUGUGGCUGAACAUUAAUUUGAUCCUGUCAUCCUCACCCUUCUUAAUAACAACCAAGCGGAAACAGCACUUAAUAAAAUGUCGUAUUAAACAUUACAUGACCAUGACCCGUGUUUGUUCAUACAGCGUUUGAACAUAAUGGUUGGGCUGGGUUAUUUCUGGUUUGAGUACUACCCGGAAUCAAAAUGAGUCUGUCGUAAUUUCAUCCUAAUAAACUUCAAAUGUGUCGUUUAACAUGAAGUACAUAAAGAAAUACUGCAUAAGGCUGCUUUUUACAUCAACCUGCCUCUUUUAUAGAUGCUUAGUGUCAGGAUGAAAAGUUUCUGUGAGAGCUGAUGGAAAUAUAAGCGCUUUUGGACAUUUGUAUUGGUUUAACCCCAGAACAUACACCAUGGCACUGUGCAAUGGAAAUAUUCAUGCAGAACAGCAUGAGAAGAAGCAGACGAUGAUUGGCAGGGCCCUCUGCAGUGCAGACCAGCCGGCCCUCACUGGCUGACGGGCCUGCUGGCCAACUGGUUUGGGGUUUUCCUCGUCUGCAGCUGGAAAGGACAGAGACACAGGGGUGAGGAGAAUGUGCUGGGGUGAGUGAAAAUAGAGCGAAAGAGAGGUUAGGAGAAUGGCAGAUGGAGCAUGGUGCCAGCGAUUUGCUCUGCUGUUACUUUGGGAUCUUUAAUAAACACAUCGAUAGUCUUGCUUUGUCUCCAAUUUUCUUCCUUUCUUCUGUGGUUGCCAGGCCUACGGAGGCGAGGAACACUGUUGAGGGUAAAGAUAACAACUAGGAACUAUUUCUAAGGAAAUCAAAGUCACCAGUUCUGAAGGACAAGCUGAGGACAUUUACAUUGAGUGGAAGACACUUAGCUUAGUUGUCUUCAUAUUUAAGAUACAAUGGCUAAUUAGGCUGAUCUGUUUGCUGCAGGUCAAAAGUUCAAACAGACUGCAAAUUAACAAACAAUGCAAAUUCUUAAACAUGCAAAAGUGUGAUAUAUGCAAAAGUAGAAAAAGGCUGCAAAUGAAAAACAAGCCACAUAUGAGAAGAAUCAAAUAUGAUUCUAUAGGAAAUGAAUGAGGAUCAUACUCUUGCUACUUAAGCUCUCUCCUGACUCUCUCUAUUCCUACUCCUGAAACCAAAGAUUCUGCAUCUCUGCUGCUGUAAACUAAGUCAGACGGUGCACAGUGAGCAGUGAGUGGCUGAGCGACAGAGUGAGAGGAAUGUUAAAAGAAUGCAAAGCAGAGUAAAGAUGUAUCCAGUACGGCAGUGUACCUAAAUUUAACAACAUAUACAAGGUCAUUUUUAAAACAUAAAGGGUCAAAUGCAGUGUCCCUCCUGAAGAAACAUUAAGUGUUGUACGUGCACUUCGUGUUUGUUCACAAAGGUUUCAUUUAGGGUGGUGCAGAGGCUUGGUAGGGUGUUUUUAAGACUUAGCUAAAACCAGUUAAGGGUUAGUUAAAUAUGAAAUAAAGGGUGAAAUAAAGGCUACGUUAAGGGCGUGUCAAAGCUAAGUCAAAGCUUAGUUAAGAGUGUGAUGCAGGCUAGUUAUAGCUUAGUUAAGAGUGUAAUAAAGACUUACUUAAAGCUUAGAGGUGGGUGUAAAAAAGGUUGAGUUUAGUCUUAGUUAAAUAUGUCAUGAAGGUUUACUUUCAAAAGUAGUAGGUUUUUGUAAAACUCCUUGUCAUGAAUCAAGAUAAUAAAGAAGAUUGAUAAUUUAUCAGUUCUUAUGUUUCACAUUGAUCAGUCAGGGGUCAGUAUCAGCUCCGUCUCAGACAUUAAGAGAAAGCACUUUUACUUAAUUCCUUUCUUCACUUGUCAACCGCCUUGACCUGGAAACACUCCGUCUGUAACCUGCUGAACUCACUCCAUUCAUUCCUCCCCCUUAACAACCCACACCCGCCCAUUCUCAGACACUGCAGCUGUCCGGUCUUCCUCUGGGGUCAAAAGGAACAUCCUAAUGCUCAUCCCACUUGAGACUGGCACCUGUUGGAGCGUCUUAGCCCUGCCUUCAUAAAGACAACAGAGAAUUCAAUAAAACAGGCUUAGAGGCACGAGGCCGGAUGGUGCCUCUGUUCACCACACUCUCACCACUUUCUUCCUCCUCCCCACCGCCAUGAGACCGUGAAGUAGAUGGCCUCGCACUUCUGAGUAGCAGAUGGUUUGAUGACAAAGACAUUAAAGAAAAAAAAACACCACUAAAUGGAAAACGCCGCAUUGUUUGACCUAUAGUGUUUGUACGAUGCGCGUGUUGCUCCUGGAGGGGUUCUCCAUGCUCAGACUUGUCAAACAGUGGAAACAGUUGUUGGAAAUUUGGCAACCGACUUCUCAGUCUGUGUGUAGAUUAAAAUGAAUCUGUCUGUAGGGCUUUAUAUGAAGAUAAGAUCAUAAAGAGCAAAUGUAAAACCAUCAAUUUAUACACCUGCUUGUCAGUGUCGAUUUUAUAGGUGUGAUUUCUAAAAACAGACGGAGUUGACGUGUUGCCAACAACUGUCUCCGUCUCUCUCUAGCAGUUUUGAUCCCUAUAAAUGAGGUAUAAACCAAAAGUGCACGGCAAAUAUUGUGCAAAGCAUGUGUCAGUAUGGAGCAGCCUGCCAGCUUUAACCCAUUGAACCUGUUUCUGCCAGUUUGACGGCUCACUUCCUCAUAUCGCUGUCUUAAUUUGAGAUUAAUGUGCGCUCAGCUGUCCAAAAGUGUAAUUAGAGGGCAGAUGGAUCCUUCUGUUGAGUUUUUUACGCCGAGGCUGAAAGAAAAUAUGUUUAAUUGUGACUCUGACAAUGUGUGAGUCAUUGCUCUGAUCCUUUGGUUCAUUAAAGCUAAUCCCUGCCACAAAGACCAAUGACGGAGAGAUUUACUGUAGUCUGGGAGGUCUGCUUUAAAGCAGUCUAAUGAGCCUGUGUGCAUGCGUGUGUGUAUUGUCCCCAUGAUGUAACUUUUUUCCCCUCUUACAUCGUGUUUCUGUGUCCCCUCUCCAAGCUGUCACUCACAGCCCUGCGCUCCACUCGUAAUUAACUGCAGUUGUUAAUGGGCUCAAGAAGAAUUUAGCUUGUAAGCUGAUCCCACAAUUAGGGCUUGUUGACUUUGCAUAAAUGUUAGGGGGGUGCCCUCCCCUGGGGCGCAGGGGCAGGAGAAGGGCGUCUUUGAGGGGCAGGGUGGACCUCCUUAGAUGUGUGAAGGGGAAGUGGGGUCUCAAACACACACACACACACAGAGGACCCAAUUCCAAUAGACUUCCCCAGAAUCCCUCAGAGUGAGACCCCACAGAUCAGCAAAUGUGGAUCCUCAAGAGCUGACUCUGCAGGAUUAUUUAAAAGAUGAUUAUAAUGGGAUCUAAUAUUCAAUGAGAAGUGAUACUUGGUGUCUAAAAGUUAUAUAACAAUUAGAAAUAUGAGUGUAUGUUUAAAAAUAGUUUUUGUCUGUUUCUGUCUCUCACUUUCACUGCCAGGUCUUCCCUUGAAAAGAGGUUUUUCCGGGUGUAAUCAGCUGACAGCCUGCUAGUCAUAUCAUUCUUUCUAAUCACUCACAAGCCAAUCACUUCCCCUUCUGCAAGAAGGUCAGUUUAAGCCGGGCAGCGAACCUCUGGAUUUUGGAAAUAAAGCCAGUGCAACUAGAAACUGCAGUUUCUGUUUUAGGCUGCCUGCAGAAGCCCAGCAACCACAUACAUAUGCAUUAAAAAUUCAGUUUUCAGAGCAAAAAUAAACAUGAUUACAGCCUGGUUCAGAAGAAGGUUUUGGUCUGACUAGCUGAGUCCCCUUACUGUAUGGGGAAGUGGGACGAAUAUAGUAUGGUUAUGAGUUUGGUAAAUCAGAGGCUAACUUGGCUCUGCUGGAAAGUGUAUAGCAAUAGACGGUAAAACCUAAUACUGUAGUGUACCUGACUUGCUAAUAUUUUAAUUUUCGUACCAAGCAAUAAUUUUCUGGGCGAUAAACUGAAAAUUACCUAUAGCGAAAUUUACUGCAAUAGCCAACAUCAUUUUGCCCAUAUCGGUAUAUUUGGUGUCAAAUAAAUCAAAGCUGGUUUUGGUUGUGUGUAGGUAGGCUAUGGUCUCAUGUCCCUUUAAGACACUGUCCUAGACGUGACUCCAUCCCAUCCAGUCCAUAACAAAGAAGGAAAGACAGGUGAGGAGAUGGAGGACGGUUCAAAAGUUGUAACAGCUAGUUAAGUUAAUGUGGGAGGGGCUGAGCAGCUUGAGGGGUAGUUAUCAUUCAUUUAUUGUUAUUAAGGUGAACUGCCCAAUAUAUCGUGAAAUUGAUUUGAGGCCGCAUCGCCCAGCCCUAGUCAGAACCCGUAUUUGUUUACUGAAACUUCUAGGAUCCUCACACAGAUCGAUGUAAUUUCCUGGAAAACCAUUCUAUGUAAUUACCUUUUUCCUUUUUCUGGAUGCUGCAAGUUGCGACAAGUGCAGGAGCUCCUCUAUUUCACUCCUUAUUCGUUGCUCAACAGAGAAAAUGAUUCAGCAACAGAGUGAAACAUUUUUGUAAAAGAAGAGACAUAUUAUCUAGCACAUGUCAACCCAUCUUUCAGGCCGAAAUGAUUCACACGGAGAACUCCAUAUUGCUCGAAAAUCAGUCCUUAGAAACCCUAAAAAACGUUGAAAACCUGAACUUGAAUCCAUUCAAACUAGACUACCAGAGUGCAUGCAACUAAGCCUAUACAAAUGCAUGCUCACUUCACUUUAAAUGACCAAUAUGAGGUUUUAUUGAGCUGUCCUUCAACACUGUUAAGUCUAUUAGAGGCCACUUGUUGUAUGACUCUUCAUGCAAAUUGAUGAUUUGAUCUAAACCCCUGCUCCCAACAUAUCCUUGUAUCAAAGAGGUUUUUCACGUGUUAUCAUGCUGCAGCACAUGCAGGUGAACUCUUCACCACUUCAUAAUUCAGCGAGCAUCCAGUGACAUGUUUGACAGGCUUGUUUUAUUAUUAGUUCAUCAAGUUCUUGGAUUGUUUGUUUUGAGGAUGUUGUCGUGAGGAUGAGAAACAGUCAGAUAAAACAGAUGAAAAGAGUUUGCCUGAAUGUUAAAUUUUUCAACCAGCAUGUCUUAGAAACUCCAGGUCUCCAAGUAUGCAAGUUCACCACAAAGAUUCACAGUAUGUCUCCUUACAAUGCCAGCUCUCAAAUGUUGUUUUUUUCAAUGGGAAACCGCAAAUGACUCAAAUUUCUGCUUAUGAAAUUCUGAGUCAUGUUGGUUCAGCACUGUGGUCACUCCCAUGUUUUCUUCAGGGAUGUUUUGCUUUAUUUCGUGCCACUUUUUUAUAUAUGGCUAUUAUAUCAUCUUUCCCACAGAGACUCAACUCAAAUUUACAGGAAAGCAAAUCGAUAUUUAGUCAAGUUAUCACCGAGAGGAAAGCUGAGAUCGACCUGCAGUGAGUGGGUGUGAGAUCCGAGUGUUGCUGCACGGUGAUGAAUUACUGCAGCUGAAUUUUGCUAAUGAUCAUUACAGAGAAGCAAAAAGAUGUAUCCAACAUCAGCAUUUCUUAAUUACAGUUGUUUCCUGUGGAAAUUCUCUGUUGACAAAAACGGGGGGAAACAAUCAAUCAGGGAAAACAGAGGGAGAAGGAGAGACUCAGUGAAGCAGGGAAGGAACUCUCGGAGGAUGGAUUUCAUCAUCUGUGCUGGAUUUUCACCUAUCUUGAGGGUGUCUGAGUGUAUGUACGCACAUGUCGGAAACAGUGGAGGGAGUGACGCGCGCUUAAAGUAAGGAAGUGUGAGAAAGACAUCUCCAGGUUAUCUGCCCGCUAAAUCCCCUGCAGCCUAUAUGCUAGUGGCUACAUGCUGCUCGGAGAGGUGUAAUGCUCUGCCAGCUGUGUCAGUGCGAGAAACACACACAUAUGAGCUCACGUAAAUGCAUACAAAGUGAAUCAUAAACUGACGCAUGUACUAUUAACCCUGUGGUAUAAAGGGCUGCAGCUGCUGUAGAUUAGCUUAUUAAAACUAAAGAUUUCAACAAAUAACUCUGCAGAUUAGCAAGCUUAUCAUUCAGCUCACGGCUUUGUGAGCUUUGUUUUGAUUGCAUCUCCCUCAGCAGAUGACUGUCUAAUAUAUGUCUGGUUCUGCUUGACGUUUCUACCUGUUAAAUAAAGUUUUUCUUAACUUGUUAAAUUCUGCAAAUUUCUGCACUCAUGAUGGUCAGUGGUUUACGUGGACAUGGUGGCCUGAGACCGAGCCAAAUCCCGACCUGACUUAUCGUCCCGGUUUGCCCCAGCAUAUUACUUUAAAUAAAUACUGAAGUCGCUCCCUGUCAUCUGAAUCUAAUAAGCAGCUGUUUGCUAUGAUUAUAUAAAUUGCCAUAAAUACAUCAACCCUGUGGAUCAAGUUUACACAACUGCCAGGCAGUCGGAAAGAAGUCAGGCUUGGUUGAUGUCAUCCCUGAAACUUGCAUUCACCUGUCACACAGCCUGUUACUAAGAGUGACAGAGACGCUCAAAAGUUCCCCUUACAAUAGAACAUCCAGAGUGUGCUGCAGUUAAAGGGAUCAUUACUUUAUCAUUUCCUUGAAGUAACAAUCACCAUAUUAAACAGUUUGCACUGCAGACGCGGUAGUUCUUCUGCCUUAGCGUCUCAGUCUGAUUGCAUUUCCCUGAAGAAAUGAUCAUAAAUGUUCUUCCUUGGGCUGCGUCACCCCGCUGCAGACUUGUCUGAGGUCUCUGUACAAACAAGCAGCUGCUGGAGGUGAGUGGGUGAGUUGUGUUUAGUCUCCUUGCUAAAGAAAUCAGGCAAAGUUCAAAAGAUGUUUGGUGGCUAGUGCAAUGGCUAGGACCCUAUAUGUCCUGUUGAUGGGGUUAGGUGCUGUUAUGAGAAUUAUUUGUGGCUAUAGAGUGGCUUCUUGGUUGAGUGUGUGAAGACAAGACCACUGUGUAUUGCUAUUGUGCGGUCGUUACUAAAGUUGGUAUAACUAACUAGGGAAGCAAACGGUUGUCAAAAUUCUUCUUUUGUCGGGCUGUCUAACUUGGUGUAAUCGUGUGUUUGACCUUAACUUAAUUUUACACCAGACUAUCCCUUUAAAUCACUAUGAGGUAGGGCUGGGCAAUAUAACGAUAAUUAUAUAUCAAAAAUUAAUUUCCCUCGACACUGAUAUGAAACAUGGUCAAUAUGCUUUUUGACAGCCGGCAUUUUGCCAUGUUUUGGUAGGCUAUACGAAUAGCUAAUGAAAAGAGAAGUUGCUCCGGGUUCGCACUGCGCUGAACCGACCAUUCAGUCCACUUUUUCUAACGCAAUGUUUUACGACAAAAUGUGGAAGAGACACAAAGACCUCACAGAUGCAGUAGCUUAUUGUAUUGCAAAAGACAUGCUACCAAUAAGCAAUGUUAAAUUUAAUUUAAGAGUAACAGGGAACAUUUAACAUUGACGUGUUUUUUUUUUUUUUUUUAUAUAUAUAUAUAUAUAUAUAUAUUGUGAUAUAUAUCGAUAUCGACUGAUAUGAAAAAAUUGUGAUUAACUUUUUCCCAUAUCACCCAGCCCUACUACAAGGCUUUCUGUGGAGGAAUGUUUACCUCUUACCUCUUAGAGCACAUAAAAAAGAAAACUCAAACGUUUAUUUACAGAGGGAAAUGAAUAGUUUUGCAGCCAGUAGCUUCUUCGGCUUGUGGUGGUUUUGCAUGUGAUGGAAAAGAAUAAUUGUCAGACCAAUUAUUCUUUUAAAUCCUCAUAAUGUUUCAAACAUGCACAAUCCAAUCAGGCUUUAUCCUUCUGCCACUCUGUUCCCUACCCACCCACCGCGCUCUCUGCAGCGUGAAAAGGCCGGGAUUAACCUUGGAUUUGAAGCAGGCUGCAUGCCCAUACACUCACCAAUCCCUCUGUCAGACCCACCCUCAUGAGCUCAUCUUUCUAAUGAAUGAGAAGGGUCACAGGUGAGCUCUCACGCAGGUAGAGUGACACACACACCAAAAAAAAGGGCUCAAACAGGCAUUAAUGUGAGUGUUUUAACACACAUACUAACAACACAACUCUCUUUGUGAGUUUAGUCAGAUCUGUUCGUAUCUUAGCUCUCUGUCAAAGGCCGCUCUGCUGAGGAGGAGGUGAUAUCAAACAAACAGCAGCACUGACAGGGAGCGUACACUAACCUCACACACUGCUCACACACUCAAAGACAGAGCCUGGCUGAAUAUUAAAGCGCUUUAGCUGAAUUGUCUUUAUUAAAGCCAUUCCUCUGAGACAAAGUCUGUCUGGCUUGAAGCAGAGAACCAUGAUUUUUCACAACUUCUUCGGGGAGGGAAAAGAUUAGCAAGUCUAGCUGCUGAGAAACUUGGUCUGUAACUCUGCAUUCUCUCAUACGCAUACAAAUUAGCAGAUAAUCUCACAGCUUUAAUGAUGUUGUUGCUCUGAGUACAUGUAAUCCAAGCAUAUAAUUCACAUACUCUGCUCCAAAUGUUCUUUUGCUGUCUUAAAUGGCAGCCUCACUCCACACUUACGAAGACUGUUCGCAUCUUUUGGAGUGUUUCCUUUUGAUUCUCCAGAGGAUGACAAAGCUGGUGAGUCCUGUUUCUGCUCUGGAAGUGGUCCAAAUAUCACAGGAUGAAGUAUUUUAAUUUAUGCACACAGUUUAUAGAGCUGAACUGUAGUACAGAGUUCACUUAAAGUCCCACUCCGAUCGUUUUUUUUACGACUCAAAGUGUAAUCAGUGGUCUUUUAAUCGUGAUUAUAGAGUUUUUUAGCCAAAAUUACAUUACCUGUGUCAUUAUCAAGGGCUUUUCUUCUGCAGAGCUCCAGUAGCUCAUUUGCAAUUCACCUCUGUUUUGCACACUCCUCCUCAUGCUAGCUUGUAGCCUAUCAUUGCCUGUGUAGUAGAAGUGGCAGGUAACAUAGUAGUUAUUCAGCUCUCAGAACGCACAGGCUUGUUCCACGAUCAUCCUCUCUAUUUUUCUGAGUCUGGCCUAGCAGGGCCCCGGGGGCGGAGCUUGGAUUGGUGAUGUAGGAAAUCUCACUGUGUCUGAACCUGCUGUUUGGGUCUUCAAGACAUUCACAGCGAUUUGAAUAAAGAAAUACUCAGAAAUGCAAUUUCACACUUUUCUCGUGAUAUGUCCUGUAGCAUCAGAAAAAUGCCACGUGAACAUGUAGACAACAAGAAAAACAUGAUUUCCAUCAGAGUAGGUCUUUAAAUCAAAUGAUUUCUUGUGUUGGAGCUUCUUAAAGUUCGCUAAAUUUGAUUGGCAGACUUGACCCUGUCUGCUGAAACUGUAGCCUAGCUUGCGUGUUAAUUCCCUGGCUGUUUCUCAUAUUAAAACGUUUCAAAUGACUUUGCAAAGUAGAGUUGUUUCAGUUAGAGUUAGCUUAUUGCUCCUGCAUCUAGUACAAAGACAUCCCUCCAUUAUCAGUUCGCCCCUCAUGGACUGUUGGCCUACUUGACAUUUUCUGAAAUGGCUGUAACCUUUUAAUAAUCUCGUCAUAUUUUAAAUGUCAGAUUAAACAGAUUGAUUUUGGAUUCAUUCUUUUUACAACAAAAUUGCAUUUUUACAUUCUUAAAAAAACAGGAUCCAGUAUUUUUUACAGCUUCAAUAACACCAGGAAAUAUAAGUCAGGAUAUAGUAUCACCCUCUGCUGCAUCAUCCUUAACAAAGUCUCUUUCUAAAACCGUCUCCUGGAUGACUCGAACACACCCAUACGCACACAUAUAUUCACGCACACAUAUGCUUGUCUAGAAGUGUGAUCUACUGUUGAGAUAGUGCUUAUUAGUGUCCUGUAAAUCUUCUCUUCCUCCCAGAGGGGCCCUAAGUCGUAAUUUACAGCCACACAUGCUGCUGCUGUUGUUCAGGUCGCAGCCGCUGGAAGUUUGUGGAGGCCGAAAGCUGCUCGAUGCAAACUCAUGCUGAAGAUGAUAAGAUUAAGAGACUGUGUGGUACUGCACAUAUUAAUGAGGAUUAACCUCUGAGUCACUCAAAGUCAGACUCUUGUUUUCAGUCAUUUUAGAUAAAAAAUAUUAAAUAUAAUCAAUCACCACAUUGAUAAAACAUUUAAAUGCAUUUACAAGGAUUUAUAAUAAUCUUUUCUAAGUUAUAGCAAGGUUUAUAAAGUGUUAAAAGCGCUCAGCAUAUUACUUUAUAAAGGUACAGUUUUAUGCAUUACAUUAUACCUUAAUGCAAUCCUUCAAAAUCAAAGUUUUCUUAACUCCCUUAACUUUAUCCAGUUUUAAAAGUUUAUUAAAAAGUCAUCCAGUGUAUCAGCAGAAGUUAUAAUUUCUAUGAUUUUCAGAUGGCUUAUUAAUACUUAAACUAUACUUGCACUAGUGUAUUGAAUAUAAUAAACAUAUGAAUAUAUACAUUUAGCAUCUUUCUUAAUCAACCUUGUGCUGCAUUACAAGGAUCUGAAAUGGUUCUUAAAAUGUUUGCCUCACUCACACACACUUGUUUCAAUCAAAAGACGCUGAAUAUGCACUAAAAUCGAACUCUUACAAACGUGUUUUGCAAACAUAUAAAUGGACAGUCUUUUAGCUUUUGGAUCGUCCUUUAGUUUACUCAGUCAGUGGUUAAUAAGUUUGAUAAAAUUCUUAUUUUUUAUUAUUUUUAAAGAUGUAUUUUGAUAAUUUCAAUGAAGUAAAUAUGUAGUUUUUCUUACAAUUCUUACAGCAUUCUUCUUACAACAGAAUGUGCUGCUACUUUACUUCAAGCCCCAAUGCCAUACUAAAGAAUAUUUUAAGUAUUAAUAAGACAUCCCCUUAUUUAAGAGUUAUAUAAUUUCUUUUAUGUUAAAUGAGUUUUCAAUAAAUUUGUAUGACUUGAUAAAGGUGAAGGAUUUGAAACCGCAGAUUCAAAAGACACCAUCUUGUAUUCACAUGUAGUGUCAUAUAAAGAUAUUCAGUUAAUUUUGUUUUGAGGUAAAAUUAAUUAUGAAUCAUACCUCAAUAAGUAAAUCAUACUGGCCCAAGUCUAACCAAAGUACUGUUUCCCAAAGAGAAGAAGUACACAGAGUACUGCAAGAGCAAAAUUACAACAAUCAUCACAUACCAGCACCUCCAAAGAGAAAAAGGAGGGAGGGUAAGAGAGAGAGAGAGGAGUUACAAGUUGAGGAAAUAGAGGGUUAAAAGGAGGAGAAGAGGAGGGUGAAGAGGAGAUAAAUCUUCUCUGCAGGCCUGUCAGAGUUGAAACAUGACAUUUAUGUGGACUAGUAUGGGCCAUAACUCUAAUAAUGGCUCCGGAAAAUGCAGACUAUUUGUAAAAUGACGUGAGGAGGGGAUCGCUGUAGAAGGGUGAGUGACAGUGAAGCAACACACAAAGCCUGAGAAUAAACCUGUAAUCUGGGGUAUCGGAUUCAACGUGCUGGCGAAACGGCGUGCUGCGAGUGAAUGGAGUCUUUGUGAGGAGCGCGGCUCACGGGCUCAUUUGCAUGCAGUGAUAAACGUUGUUUACACUGGACAUACAGCUCUGUGAAGUGGUAGGUAAACGCAGCAGGAAUGAUAGAUUAACCGCCUCACAUGGGAGCCAGACAGUUAUGUAGUACGCUCAAACACACAUACAUACGCAGCUGCACAUAUACACACACACUCACACAGGCCAAUUCAUGCAACAGGUAUGCAAACAUAAGCUAAACAGAGACAGAUAUGCAAACACACAUGCAUUCAUAUGGACACACACACUCACAUAUGAAACAGUAUCCAUCCUCCUGGUGAUAAAUGCCUCCUUCUUUCCACUAUGGCUGAUGUUCAUAUUUCCAGACAAUCUGUCAACAUUACGCUCAAACAAUGUUUAUUUUCUCCAUGUAGAUUUGAUAAACACAUAGAAAUAAGCCCGAGCUCUGGGUGGAGGAGAGUGGAGGAGGUUGGGAAGGGGGUGCAAAGGGCCAACCAGGUUCCAUGGCCUCUCUCCAGGUUGAGGAAUCCCCUCUGUAAGCAGACACGGCAGGCUGCGGGGAGGCGACCCGGGGCCAUGCAGAGUCUCAGUUCCAUUUAAGGAGCCGAGGGUGAUUUGUCAUCUUGCGGGGGCGACAGACAGGAGGCUGGCAGUGUGUCGUUGGAGGGAGGGUGAGGGUGAGGGUGUCAGACGGGGGCAGCGAUUUGAGGCAGUAAACGGGUUUCGGGUCAGUUGCAUCGCACAGUGGGGCCAGUCACUUAGUCCCAUAACUGGACAGGAGAGAGGGGACAGGAUGGAGUCAGUGGGUGUGGAGUGUGGAGGCAUGGGGGGCAAACUAUGAACCUCCAGGUCAGAAAUAGCAACUCACCCCUCUGUGAAAUCGAGUUUUUAUAGUUCAAAGCAAGGCUGGGUAUGUUUGUUUUUAUGCCAGGUAAUGAUGUUUGCACUGCAGUGGGUGGAGAGAGCAGACUGCAAUCCACCUGACGAGUUCUUGGAUGACGCUGGAGGACUUUCAUGGCUGCCUUCUGAUGAGUCAGACCUGUCACCCCGUCUCUCAGAUGUCUCUGUGUGACGAUAACAUGACAACCACGAAGCCCGACAUCCCCUCACUGCGGGCCAUCUGACCCCCCUCGUGUGAAGCCUCCCUCUGUCGGCGGGAGAAAUAAUAUUGGAUUUCCUUGUUUCCCACAGAGACUCAUGACGGUGGAGCUAUGAGGGGUCAGACAUUUUUCUCAUGUGCUAGCAGCCGGCUACUGCCGUGAAGGGCCAAUAAAUCAGCUGGAGAUAAACACACAGACGGUGACUGAGUGAAGAGGAGCAACAAAUGACAGCACAAGUCAACCACUGUUAAGUGGGAUGUGUUGGAUGGUGAUGAUGCAGGACAGCAAGGGGGCGAUUGAUUGAUUGCAGUUGUAAUAUCUAGUAUUGACAGCAAUAUCAGCCGUAUUUAGCAAUUGAGAGCAUAACCCAGUAUCUGUGUCUCUAAGAUGGGUCCAUUUAAUCCAAGCUGCAUUUUAAAACCAGCCAAAGAUUGUUUAUUAAAGGAGAUGCUUCACUCUCAAACACCACUUAAGACUGUUUUCUUCUCAGCUGACACAAACUACCUGACAGCAGCAAGUUUGUUUCAAAGGUUAAAAUCUCUCAAACUUUGAAAACAAACACUAAAAUGUUAAAAUGGAAUUACACAAUCAACGGAAGCAGUUACACUAGGAAACCUUCACAUUAAAGUUCCAGUCCAUCUCUCUACUUUUAAGUAGUUUUCACUCAGAAAGAUAAAAACAUGUCCUCUGUUUGUCCGUCAUACUUUUCCAAUGUCACUUUUUAAUUUAAAGCCUCCAUGUUACAGUAGAUUUAGAGUCCACGGUCCGGCUGGCUGAUGAUUGUAAACGCAGGCUUGAGGACGAGUUUGCUCUGAGAUCUACAUUUUUAGGCACAUGUGCAGACACACACACACAAACACACACACAUGCAUGUGCACAGAUGCUCAUGCACACACUUGACUUGAUUUAGCUGGCUCUGACAGAGUCUUGAUUGGUGUCUCUGUCUCUGGGUGGGCUGAUUUAAAGUGUCCCUCAGGUCUCGUUCCAGGUAGAGAGACAGACAGGGGUCUGAAACUCCCUCCAUCCCCCAGCACCCACUCCCACUUUGGCUACAAGCAAGAAGAACUCCCCCUUCCUCUUCCUCCUCCUCCUCCUCAUCCAGCAUCCAUGCUUUCUCACACUGGCUGGAGCUGUCUGGGUCUUUAGGUUGUGAGGAUUUCUCACCCGUCCUCAACAAGCUGCUGUGCAUUCCAGCAGCAGCAGCAGCAGCAGCUUAUUAUUGGAGGGAAUUUAUAGGGCCAUUCAUUUAACUGGAUCCGAAUGACAUCGGUUCUGGAUGAGUGACGCUGGGGCAAACUGCCGGGCCAUGUGGUCCAGGGAAAACAGAGCAGGAGAUAAAUCAUACAACCAAGGGGGGAAAGAGAGGUGGAGGGUGGGGAGGUGGGAGACAGAGAGAGAGAGAAAGAGGGAGGAAUGGGGGAACAGAGGGAAAGAGAGAGGUCAAACAAGAGGGACGAAGAAAUGAAAUAAAAAGGUGAGAAGGACGUCUGUUGGGUUGGGCCGCUCUGACCCGGACACUAUGAGCACCUUGAGUUAACCAGUCUGGACUUAAAGAUCUCAGUCUGUGCUUGGCUCCCAUGGUGUAGGUUUUUCAGUACAUGUAUUUGCCCUUGUUUCCUUUGACUCAGGGGGGUUGACCAGUUCAUUCUCAUGUGCAUUUAGAGGAUGACACAGACACAAACUCAGUGACUCUUUUCCUGCGACUGUGCACAUUCAGGAAUGUUAAAAUGUAAAGACAGGAAGUUCACUUCACACCCAGGGGGGACUAACAUGCUUAUUAACGCAUGUGUCUGUGUCUCACUACCUGUGAUCACAGGUGUCAUGUUGGUAAUCACUGAGGACAAAAUAAAGACAGAGAGUUGUAUUGAGAGUCUGGACCAUUUUCUUAUUAACAUCAAAAUACUGAAGGUAAAAUUUCUAUGUUACCUUUACUGAGUUUAUUUCAUCUUUAAGAUUAGAGCUUCUAUAAAAACCUUUGUUGAAAAUCUAGGCAAGAAAAAUUGAUGGCAGUAAAUUGAUGUGUGAUCCUGCUCUUACGAGUAUUUUAGUGGCUCUGAUCUUGUCUUUCAAAAUGCACACCUGCUGUAGUUGAUGUGUAAAUAGAAAAUUUCUUAUCAGACAUUCACACAGUGUAGGGUUCAGUUAAACUAAUUAAAGUACAAAUGUUUCCAACCCUCAAUUUCCUGCAUUCUGGUAAAUAAUCAAACAAGGUCCAACACCCAAAUGUUCCUGUGCCUCAAGAGCGUCAGCUGUGCACGUGCUCACAGGGAUCUAUUGUAACCAGACAAUGCAUUAGUCCUUUUUUCUGCAUCGGAUCCAUGUUUUAAUGAGAUCUGAUCUUUUAUUCUCAUUUAUAUGAGAAAAUGGCAUCUAGAUUUUCUGACCUUUAAUUCCCUGGACGGCACAUUUUUGUGUUUUUUAUACUGAAAUAGAAUCUAUAGGGCACUUUUUUCUGUUUUAUUGCAUGGAUGGGCAAACAGAGGGCCCUUUUUUUACUUUUACAUAAUGGAAGAGUAUCCAGUGAGGACUUUGUCAUGCUUGUCAUCCUGGAAACAUCAAUUUUAUGGAUCACCCAAUUAUAAUGUUUUACAGUUAAGAGUUAGCAUAAAUAUCAGUGAUGUUAAGUCUACCGCAUAACCCAGUGUCUUUGUCAUCUCUAUCCUAAAGAUGAUUCCACUUUUUUCUGAUGUAUGUAGAGUAAAAUAACCUCCAUCUGCUGUUCAUUCAAUAGAAUAGGAAAAAAUCAUAAUAGUGCAGCAAUUUUUGAGUUUGAGUUAUUGGAGCAGACUCGAGGUCUUUUGUGUGAACAAAUAGUUUGGCUCGAUGUGAAUGCAAAGCGGUAAAAUUCAUUUGAAGUCUCAUAUUCUUGAAUGCGAGGCUCAUAAAGAGCAUAUCAAACACAUUUAUAGCUCCAUAAAGCAUGGCGAGUUUCAUCUGGGGAUCUAUUAAGCGUUUCAUCUCAUACCAACAUGUGAUCCGAGCCCUCGUUGUAUGUGAAAACAAAUGUGAUCUGGUGCUACCAAGUAAUGUAGUCCCCUGUUACCCAUGUGAUAUUUUCCACAUUUAAAUUGGAACGUAUGAUAUGGAGCCUUGAGUGGUAACUCGAGUCCUGUUUACUCAGCCAAGCCUAAUGCAAACAAUCCUGCACACGCACGCACACACACAAUCGUUUACACACAAAAACACACACUGCACUAAGUGACUGACACUGACGGCUGUCACAAGCUGCUGGGUUGAAGGGUGAGAAGGGCAGAUAAUCCCUGUCCGCAGUAAUGACCUGCCUUCAAAGCAAACUUUCCUACACACACACACACACACACAUGCACUCACACUCAUGUAGAUGCAGAAACCUCAGAAUACACAAACCUCUCUGUACUAUCUAGGCUGAAAAUCUUUUUAUUCUCACAGAAAAGACGAUUUUCAUGCUUCAAUUAAACUCUCUUCAGUAUUUCACCAGCAGGCCUAAAGGGGGCGCUGUGAUUUCAGUCAAACUUGAAUCAUCAUCGACUGUGUGUCCACAAAAAGUAAUGGAAUAAGGCGUCUCAUUUCUCAUCAGUUGUGACAGUGAGGUUUAUUUUCAUGUUUUGGAGAUUGUGACAUUUCAUCAGUCAUCAUUUGCUUUCUUUACACAACAUGGCUGCAAAAACACACACAUACACAAACAAGCUUAACAAAAAGUGAAGUGAAGCUCCAAACACUAAACAUUUUUCUAAAACUUUUUCCGCAAUUUCUUAUUUAAAAAACGUUGUUUUUCUGCGCCCAUGUUAAACACACUCACGAAUAUGAACCAUGCACUCCAACUUCAAAACUCUGCCGCAGUUAUCACACACACAGGAAGAGUGUGUGUGGGUCAGUAAGUGGGAAAAGGUGGAGUGUGUGCAGCAGCAGAGAGACCAAGCAGAUUUUCUGUUUCUGUUUUGCACAGAACAACUACGAUUUCUAAAAUUCUAUAUAUUUUACAUAUUGAUUAAACUUAAGGGUAAUUGCAGUUUAUAUAAAGUCCAAAAUUAAUGCAUUAUCUUCUGAUGUUUUGGCCCCUAAAGCACACUGCAGAGAAGCUGCCAUAGCUUAAUCCUGAUUCCUGCACAACAGUGUUUAUGAAUCAUAAAGUUCACUUGAAGACAAACUACCAGAUAAUUCUGCAAAAGCAAAUUACACUUCGUGAGCUAAAACCUGCAAGUUCAGAGUACAGGUGCAGCUUAUCAGACUGAUGUCAGCGUGCAACUGCAUCACAAAAGUCUACGAAGAAUAUUUUGUAGAGUGAGAAUCACCUCAGAGCUGUGGAUGAGACUAAACUGAAGGAUUAAGAAUUUUGCUUUAGUUAUAGUUGGAAACUAACUGCAGGUCAGUCGACAUCUCCGGGACAUCUCGAGUUUGCACGCUCUGACCAGUCUCCAAUGUGUGAAGCCGUCUGCUGACUCUGAGUCAUGGUUUGAGUCACACUGGGGCAUCAGUGCAGCGUUCAUAUAAAUAAUAAAUCAAGAAGUAAAGGUCAUGAAGUGGAUUAUAUUGUAUCAGUUUGAUUCUGAAAUCAAGGUGCUUAAAAAACGGAAAUAAAAUGAGUUUUUAAAAUGGAAUUAACAAUGUGAUUUAUUGCAAUUAAAUCACUGCAAUUUUUAAAUUUAAAAUCUGUAUAAUUAAAAACUCUGCAGACAUCUUAUGUCAUAUUUGCAUUCAGCCUGGAUAUUUAUUCGGUCCCAACUGCAAUUUAAAAAACUCUGUAGGCUUUUAAACAUCUUUGUAGGAAGAUUGCUUUAAGAACUGACAGUAGGACGGUAGUUUAUACGAAAUGCGUUUAAGGUUCUUCCCCCAUUUGUGAGGUUAAAUACUUUUUUUGUGACGUGCAAAUUAACAAAUAUUUAUUUAAAUUAUGGUAUCCAGUACUGAAAAAAACGCCUCUUCAGCCAGACAAGUUUUUAAGAUAUGAUUAAAAAAAAUUUAUUCACUUUAAACCUGAAAUCCAAAUUUUAUCUCUGACCUCUUACAUUCAUUAAAAACUACUGUAAUUUGUUUUUUUAAUCACUUUUUAUGGCUUUACUUUCUGUAGCAAAUAUUCCGAGCAGCUGAAGGCCUGGCAGAGUCGCCCUUCUGAGGUCCACUCAGCGCAGCCUCCAGAGGCCUGACCCGAGCCCCUCUGCCAGGUGUGUCCAGCUGAAAGCAUUCCUUCACUGGGUGGGUGUGUCGAGGCAGAGGAGGGGGGGGGUAUGGAUGGCAGAUGAAGAGUUUGGGUGGGGUGUCAGAAGCAGGACUCACCACCCACAGAGCUGCCACGCUCUCUGCUCCUCUGAAGCUCCCCUACCUGCUAAUUUGCAUCAGUAAACAAGCAGCUGAUGACUUCAAAGUGUGGAGACCAAUGAGGCCUGACACGGGAAUGGACUUGUGUUUAAGUGUGUAUGCAGGCGUGUGUGUGUGGUUUUGGCUGUUGAUCUAUUUUUUGUGCAUAUUUUGGUGUAAAAAUAGUCCCAUAAUAUUAUCUAUCCAGCACAAACAGCAUCUAUAUCAGCUUUCAAAACACAAAUCAGUGAAACCCGUGUGUGUAUAUCGGCGCACUGAAAAAUCCAUCACUGUGAAUGUGUGUAUACAUGUUUCUUUGGAUGGGCUGCCACCCACGGAGACAUGUCAGGUAAAUAUUUGGUGGUGGGGGGAGGGGAGGGGGUUUCGUUGAAGUGUCCAGUGUCCAGAGAGGGCACAUGCCAUCUGUAAGUGAUCCAUCCACUCUAAACAGACAUCUGAUAUGGACACAGACACCUGAUCCUGCAUUAGGACGCCUCUGAAGCUACGCAGUAUCACAGCUCACCACAAACAUCAACUUGAACCCGGGGGCCUCUCGCCAAAUAUCUGACUGGCUGUGUGUGGAAAUGCAAAUUCAAACUUGUGCACGUAGUUUGUAAAAGCGAAAAAUCGGAGAUACUUUACAAAUGUGGGGAGAAAAGGUGAAUUAUGCCUUAAACGCUGGUCGUCCUGUGUAACAAUAUGUGUAGUUUAAAUGUGUGCAUGCAUGCAAGAGUGUGCGUAUGCGCAUGAGGGAUUUGUCGUUAUCGAUCAGAGGUGAUGACAGGCCUCUCAAGGUGUGUUUUCCACAACAGGAGCACAGAAUGCGGUCUAACCACAGGAGGGAAAUGCAUUUGAAUAUACCUGCAAACUGUAGCAGCCGGCUUGAUAAACCAAGCAGCAGCAGUGAUUCCUGACUACCUAUUAAGCAUCUGUUUUUAUCCAGGUAAGACGAUCUCUUUGAAUCAGUGCCCCUCCCCAGGAGUCAUCAAUCUUACCUCCUGCUGUGUCAGAGGAGCUGUGAGGAUUGUGUCUUGGUACCCAAAUGCCCACCUCUCCCCCUGCCGUGCCAGGUGCUCUUACACCAGAAAACCACAAAGGGGAGCUACUGCUAUUUCCAACCCCUAUAAUACGGACGCACACGUACACACAUAUAUACACACACACACAGUUACACACAUUCCUACUUUCUCCCUAGCCAAACAUUCCCUUCAGUCAACCUGCUGCACAGGGUUCAGCACGCAUCAGCAGUCAGGCUGGGAGGGAGGGAGGCAGGCAGCGAUUUCAGUCUACGUGUAUUGCAUCUGCAGACUUUUGUUGUCAAAGCUAAAGCUGAUAACAGAUAAAUAAGUGAUUGCUUAUUGUACUAUUGAUGAUAACAGCAGAAAGGAAUCUCACUGGUGUAUAAUCCUCUUAAAAUAGACUGUAAAAAUGAGAUUUUCUUUGUUGUUGAUGCAGUUAGGAAAAUAAUUUGACCUCUUAUCGUCAUAUUGAAUUUUUCCUUUGUGGGUUUAAUACAGUGUAAUGUCAAAAGGAGCUCAUUUUCCUGCAGGAUUCAAGGUUGCAGAAUUUUAGUGGAUAAAAACUUGGCUUAUCAAUUUUGAUAUGUAAAUGAAAUUAAUGCAUUUUUGAGUACCUUCAAAGAGGAUUAAGAAAAGAUCAUUCUGGCUGAUAUCCAGAGAAAUUCAGAUUCUACAUUUCAGAAAAAAAGGUUGAUUUAAGAGAACUGUUGCAAAGGAAAAAAUCACACAAGGAGAAUAAUAUUGAUGUCCAACCCUCUUCCUCUUACUCAUAUGUAAACAAUCGUUGGUAUCUAGGACAAUGAUGUCAGAUACGGUAAGAGACAUGCAGCAAGUGAAGACAUGUUCUAAUAAAUAUCAUUACACUGAGGCUGGCUGAAAAUAUGCCAGUCUGUGAGGCACUCUCUGUGACUACAGUCAAGAUUAAUGAGCUGGGAAAUUAAACCCAAACACAGGGACUAUUUUUUCUCCCCGUCCACCUCACACUGGCGUUUAGGGACUCUUUGUAUACGCCACACGGGAGGUUGCUGCAACAUGUAUGACGAGUAAGUUCUCUGCUGGCCUGCGCUGCUCGUCUGUCAGAAGGUCCACCCAUAUUUUGCAUUGCAGAGAGGACAAUAGGGGCCUGUGGAAUACCUUUAUGGAAGUACGGGUGAGGUCGAGGAAUACGAGCGUAAAUAACGGUGGAGACAAAACCGUGGCAGAAACACUCAGGAUACUUGGAAAUGGUUGCAAACACGUGAACGCAAAUAAAAGUCAGACUAUUGUGAGGAUCCAAAGUGUGAAACUAGAAGUGUUGCUGAUUAGUAAUGACAGAAGCUUUUAAAGCAGGAAUUUAGAUUUUAAAACACCAAAGUUUUUGAAUAUCAGGGUUAUAGUUCAAGGAUUUAUUUCAGCGCUUAAAAAUUGUGGCUAAUUAGAGGCGUUUGUUUUCCAUGUUCUCUUUAAUGAAAGCUAACAUGGAAAUUUUCCAAUUAUCUACAUAUUGAAGAUCUAUUUUAAUUAGUUAAUGAUUUAGAAAAAUGUCAAGACCUAAUGACACAUGGGUUUUUAUGUAUGCAAAACAAACAAAUAAUCACUUAAAGUCUUGGCUUUUCAACAGUAGGUUACUGUUUUUUAAUAAAAUACUAUUUAAGAGCUAGCAUUCACAUUUUAAAUAAAAGUAAAUGCUGUGGAUUUAUAAAAGCACCAGAUCACUGUUAUUGAAGAGCAUUAGUCAGUUAUUUAGGUGAAAACACACAGCGUCCUUCUUCACAAGUUUCGUCACAGUCCGCUCAAACUUUUCUGAUAACUGUAGGUUAACUUUUGAGCAAUGAAAACACUUUUAAUUUUUUUAUUUUAUUUUACCAAUCCAUUUAAUAUCUUUGAAAUACUUAGGACAAAUAAGUGUUUUCUAUCCACCUUAUAGGAAGAGUUUGAGAUUAACCAACAAGUCAAAGUGUCUUUAUCUCGCUCAUAAUGUCCUGUAUGUUCAAACCGUACAGGCUCGUACUUCUAAAUCAGAGUCAGCAAAAUCAGCCAGAGAAGUUUCCAUCCAAAUAUAAAUUAAUGAUGAUUUAUCUCAUUUUCUCUCACCAGUAUGUUUUGGAGCUGAGCGUUCAACAGCUGAAGGAGAGGGAAUGUUGCCAGGGUUCAGCACACCACAGUCCUCAGCUCAUUUUGCUCGGUGAGUAUUUAGUUGUUCGGUUUAAAAGCACUAAUUUUAUAAUAAAUCUUAUUUUCUUUAUCUUCUUCGUCUCAUCUCUAAAAACUCUUUGCUCUUUUUUUAAAUCUUAUGGUCAUAAAUUAAAUGGUUUUAACCUUUAAAGUAGAAAACACUCAUUUGUGUAAGCUAUGAAUAGACUUGGCUAAUUUGUAUUGCGAUUAGUGAUAAGGUUAACUAAAACUGACGAGAAAAGUAAAUACAUUUUGAUGAGUAUAUUUGUUUUGCAGGAAUGUGUCAUCUGACUGAAGAAAAUUACCGGAAUCUCUGCUGCCAGUAUCCUUUUUUUUCCCCACAGCGCAGUAAAACUGGUUUAAAGUGGUUUCCAAAAAUGAUUUAGUGAAAAACUCUCCUGAAACCUCCAAGAUCAUGAUUACUCUUGGUGUUCAGAUGUACAGUAUUAUUUGUUAAUGCAAUUAAUAAUUUCUGUAAAAAAGUGCUUUUGUUUAUGUUUGUAAAGUCU
rnacentral:lncRNA from 1 species